rnacentral:lncRNA from 1 species
GAGAACUUUUUGUGUGAAUAUAAAACACUGGAGGCCCAUUGGAUCCAAUCGUAUCGGAGCAAGCACAGCUCUUGGUUCUUAUACAACGAUAUCAUCACUACAUUUAGUGCUUUGUGGCUGGAAUGGAUCGUGGAAGGAUGCUUCUUGCCAUCGCAUUGGUGAUCAUGAUCAGCGGCAACAUCGAUUGUUCCAGGCCGGGCUCGUUUUCGGCGAUGAGCCAGCAGGCCGAGCUUUUCAAUUCCGAAUUGCGCCUUCCUGUUGUUAACAAGAUCCACAAUCUUUUCGAAAGGACCUUCCGGAGAAUGCUCAUCCAGGGUCAGCCCACGCCAUCCUCCGGCCCUUCCUGGUGCUGCCACGACCAUCCAUAGCAUUUUCCUAAAACGAUUUUUCAUUUCAAUACCACCAUUAUUUGGCUAAUUGAAGGGGCGGACAGCCACGUGGCUGACACGUCACGCUGGGAGACGGCGGCGAAUUCUCCUCCAAAUCCUCCGCCUCCACCCCUUUCCCCAUUCUUCCCCACCUCCGCUUCCUCCCAUUACAGUCACACAUCAAUUUACCCAGCUUGCGUCCAUGAGGCGCUUAUCUCACCAAGGUGAAGGGGAAUGAUAAAGGCAUCUUUCCAUUUUUCCCUGUCAACUUCAAGAGACUUGAGAGCUGCUUGGAAUUCCCCGAAGUUCCAGUCCAGCAAGUAAAGUCUCCACAAGACUUUCAGGGAUGUCUUGUACAGCUGCGAACAAUCAGCCGUGGUGGUGGCUUGCCCUUGUUCUGGCGAGAAGAUCUGCAAAGAGGAGCGGCUGCAGUGAGUCUCGAAGAUUCGCAGGUCGUUCGGAUUGGGCAUGGCUUGAGGGCCGGGCAGGGCAGGAGGGACAAGAGCCGGUGGUGCUAGAACAAGCUGCAGAGGGAAGUGGGCAGCACUGGCAAAGGCAGAUUUUUUCCCACUUGACGAUGGAGUCUCAUUGAAAUGCACGUCUGGUGAGAUGAUCAGCGUCUUGGAGACAGGAUUGUAGACCUUGUAAGCCUUGUGUUCAAUGCUAUAGCCUAGGAAAAUGCCGCUUGUUGAAGUGAGUUUUUUUCUAGUUUUAGAGGGGAUAUGGACGCCAUGGAAGGUGCGCUAAUCCAUUUGAAUUCCACUUUGUGCAAGAACCCUUGACAAUCCUGGACCUCAACAUUGGCAAGCACUUAAACGUGUCUUUUGGUACUUACGAGAUAUGUUUCCUUACAGUCUUAAGGCCAAGAGUCAAGCUAUGUUUCCUUACAGUUUUAAGGCCAAGAGUCAAGCUAUGUUUCCUUACAGUCUUAAGGCCAAGAGUCAAGCUUACUGGGCUGGCUUUGGCUAUAUUGUUUAGCCUUCGGUGUUGGGCCGGGUGUCGUUGAGGAGGCGGCAAAGCCAGAUGGCCUCUUUGCAUGCGGAACUAGCCUCCGCCUCACAGCUGGAGCAGGCAACGACGCUCUGCUUCUUGCUGCCAAUUGCAUUGUAAUCUACUGUAACAAUCAUCACAAGAUUAAUUCCCGGACGAAACACGCACCACGCUGGGAGACACGUCCAGUUCUUUCCAUGUUAUGCAAUCUUAAUUGAACACCACAACAGCCUGGAAAUCGAGUCCGCUGCUUCAUCCCACCAAAAAAUCUGAUCUCGUGCACAGCAUGAAACGAACAUUCUCUGUGCCUCUCCUGAUAGAGCCAUACAGGACCUUCUCAUGUCCAGCCAGCCACUCGAUUAUUAUAUGCAGCACACUCAAAUACAUCCAAGUAAAUCUUGAAAUCCUCGCAAAGUAGGCUAAAUGAGUCUGCUUGAGGAGGGCUUAAGUGAGUUGGCAAGGUGUAGUUUUGGUCUUUCCCUUGAACAUUGUAAGAUCAUGGACCUCACGUCACUACAGUGUCACCUUUAACUCAUUGUAACGCCGCAUAAAGGGAUUACUGCGUUUGCUCAAGUCCUCGAUGGGAGCGUGGAAGGUGAUAGCGCCUACAUCAGCUCCGUGAAUCGCAACAAGGAUUUCUUUAUUCUCAUGACAGGGGAUUUUAGGAUCGCGCCAGGCAGGGAUCACUUCGUCUGCAUGAUCGAUAUCUUCGGCCGUGGCAGGGAGAAUGCCGAGGAAUUGCUGCGUGCCAUGCCGUUUGUGCCAGAUGCUCUGAUUUGUAGGGUUUUGGUGGCAUCUUGCCGAUCGCAUUACGAUAUGUUUCGGGCACUGGAUCGACAUAUAUGGCAAAUCGCUCCAAGAGCGUGUUUAAAAUGGAAAUUGGCGGGAAAGCGAUGUGUUUGUUUUCUAGCUGUGCAUACUAUCGAAAGGUGGAAAAAGAAUUUAUUUAUCUUUCCAUUCAGUCAAGUCAGCCUCCCAACCUUUGGAGAAACUUUCAAGUCAUGCCGAUGAGCUCUCUCAACUUCUGGAUGAGACCACGGUCGUCAAUCUGGAACGCUUUUGCGAUCACGUUGUCGUUGAUUGGAGGACUGGAAUCAAACACCGCCUUGGCCACCUGAGUUGCCCCGGGGUUUUGGCUGUUGAAGCCAGCCAUCGCAACCGCAGGCUCCUUUCCAACGUUGAGCUGGAAGUGAAUGAGUCCCCGAGGGAAGACGAACAGAUCUCCAGGAUAGAGCAUUUGGGCGAAGAGCUUGUUGUCCGGCAAGGUGGUGAUGAAUCCGACUAAGAGGUUCCCGUGCACGAGGAAGAGCAACUCGGAUCCUCGGGGAUGGACGUGGGGGGGAUUGGUGCCGCCGGGAGCAUAGUCGAUGCGGGCAAAAGCUACACCAAAGGUGUUGAGACCGGGGAAAUUGUUGACACUCGCCAGCGUGACGUUGGAGCCGAGCUUGUUGUCGGUGUUCCCGGGAGUCGCCAGCAGGCUCGACUUGAAGUCCUCGGCUUUCACAUCGGCGGCCGCCUUGCAGACGACGCCGUUCACUUUGAUCUUGGAGCCAUUGUCUGCAACGCAAAAGUCCUACAGCAUAUCUUCAUCCGCAGCAUGUACAAACAAGAUGGAGCUGAUUGCUAGGAGGAAGGAUAGAACAAAACGAAGAUGAGCCAUCUUGCGAGCUUGGAAAAGACUGAUGGAGCUAUAUGAGGGAGGGGCAGGCAUUUUAUAGCCGGAGGAGGGGAGGCGAGGUCCUUUGGAUGACUUCGUCGUGAAUCGUGCACGAUUUUAGGUACACGGUCUUCUGUUCCCUUCUAUUUCAUUUUUUACUCUUGCUGUCCGCAUAACACAAUCCGAUUUGUUUGCUGCCAAGUCGUCUCGGAAGUUUUCUUUUACCGGGCUUGUCUAGAGCCGUCCAAAUCAUCUUUUCUUAGAUGAUGACGACCUUGGUUUUGAUGGUAGGAACCGGUCUCAGUGAAACUCGAGUUUUACACGGUCUUGGUAAAAGCUUUACACUAAAUUGCUUUAUUCUUCUUGGCACCAGAGACUUUUUAUAUGUGGAGUUUUAAUGGAAUUAUUAUGGAUUGUGUAGGUCCAUUGCUGAUACAAAUAAACUAUGGGUAUAUCGACCAAAGGUACGUCUAUGUAGGUUAUCAAUUUUGCAGACAAUUAUGUUGUCAGAAGGAUAGUUGCUCACGUAGUCAUGAGAUAUAUAUAGUCAUAGUCAUUGUGAUUAUUGUUUGCAUCAUUGUCAUGGGCAAAAUAGAAUGUUUAUUGCUGCCACUUUAUUAAUCAAUUUAAUGCAAUAAACUUAUGAUAUUAAAAAAAUUUAUAAUUUGUCCCACCAUUGCAAUCUAGGAAAGCAUCCAGUUGGGGUGGUGGGAGUGAACUGAGAAAUACUCAUUUAUUUCUCAUGUGCUGCUGUGUGAGCAUGUCAAUCAAUCAGCUGACCUCAGUAUUAGUGGUCGUGGGCAGUGCAUUCUAAAGCUCUUUGACUUGUUGGGCAAAGUCGGGCACCCAUGCUGGCAUGACUUGGUCGUGACCACAGCAAGUUUUGGUUGUUGAUAUGCAACUAGAACUUGUUUUAAACAGCAUAUGCAUCCUAGUCAAACAUGAGGCAGUUAAGAACUCUUGGAAUUCCCCACUAUUGCAAAGAAAUAAAGAAAAAAUAUCAAUGAUUACUCUAUUUAACUUUCACUCACCAUUUUGUUAAGGAAAAACUUAAACAAUACACCACAUUAUUAAAGAAUAGUUUAAACGACCAGGAUGUAAUCGUUUGUACUACUCCUAUUCCAUCUAUAGUGCCCAAUUGUGUAGUGCUGUUAACAAUGUAAAGUUGGGAGGCGGCAUUAGUCAUGUGGAUGUCCUCCGCUGCUGCCUGGUUCGAGGAGCCCUUCCACUGUUGUGAGUUGAGCCUGCAAAGUCUGUUGCAAUAUUAAAAACGUUUAAUUGCCCAGCAAGCCUCACUGGUUUGAUCAGUCAGUGUAUAGUUUUAUCUUAAGAGUAACAUUCCACGAACUAGAGAGUAGAAUUUAGAUGCUCAACCAAAGUCCCACCCAUAUCCAUAACCCACGCCUUGUCCACCAGUGGAAUCAACUCUCUGCGAGGAAAGAAAAUAAGAUCCAAGCACUAAUCACGCAAGUUUACCGCAGAUCAUGGCUCACAACGAGCAACGUCCUCUCCUUCUUUAAGUACGUGAGGUAAGAAUGUAGAUUGGAAUUUUUGGUGAGGUGUUGCUUUAAUGAAAGGUGAAACCGUGUGAUGGUGCUCAAGAUCCGUCAUAGCAUAUAUGGAAUGGAAAAUGUACAUAUGUGUGACAUGGUGAACCGGUGAAAACUCGUGUCUCUCCACGUGGACUAGCCACGUGGCACAGGGCCACUCUCAACACUCCCAGUGGCACUGUGGCCAUCACGAGUGAUGCUCAUCAGUGGAGAAAGUCCCAGCCCUUCGCGAUGGACUUGAAAUCGAUCUUGGGGUAGUGCUUUUGUGAAGAUAUUUGCAACCUGAGUGGUUGUGUCACAGUAGAUCAGCUCAAUUGUGCCAUCUUCCACUUUCUCACGAACAAAAUGAUGAUGAAUCCCAAAGUGUUUGGUGCGUGAAUGAAAGCGAGGAUUGGCCGCUAACGCAAUGCAGCUUUGAUUGUCGCAGAAGAGGCGAGUGGGAGUCUUCACACUCACACCAAGGUUAGAAAGUAGUGAGCGUAACCACACACCUUCUUUGGUAGCUUGUGAGGCUGCCAAAUAUUCUCCUUCAGUACUAGAGGUUGCCACUGUACUUUGCUUCCUGCUGCACCACGAGACUGUCGCACUGCCCAGGGAAAACGAAUAGCCAGAGGUGGACUUGCGUGUGUCACAGUCUCCCCCAAAAUCAGCAUCACAGUAGCCCGUGAGGGUAAGCGCUUUUCCCUGGUAGCACAAUCCAAGGUAAGUAGUACCUCGAAGGUACCUGAAGAUGCGUUUCACUGCUGCCCAAUGUUGAGAUCCAGGAUUAGCCAGGAAUUGGCUAACUUUGCUCACGGCAAAAGAAAUAUCUGGGCGCGUACAAACAGCUGGAUACAUGAGACUGCCAACAGCUUGUCUGUAAGGGAUGGAGUCCAUGGCUCUCUUGUCUUCCUCUGUCUCAGGAGACAUGGCUCGUGAAAGCUGGCAGCCUAGUUCCAUUGGUGUCGCCACUGGAUUAGAGCUCGUCAUAGAAAACCUGGCCAGUAUAUCUUCUAUAUACUUGGCUUGGUGAAGAUAGAUAGUGCGUUGAGAGCGAUCACGCACAAGUUCCAUGCCAAGAAAGUAGGAAGCCGAGCCAAGAGUUUUCAUCUCAAAUUGGCUGCAAAGAUCUCGCUUAACCUGGAGAAACAUUAAGCGAUGAUUAUGGAUGACAAGAGUAUCAUCAACAUAAAGAGCGAUGAUCACAAAUGAUUCACCCUCCACCCGAAUAUAAAGAUUCGGGUCUGCCUCGCUACGGGAAAAGCCCACACUUAGUAUAAAAUUGUCAAAGCGUUUGUACCAAGAUCUGGGUGCUUGUUUCAAGCCGUAGACAGCUUUCUUGAGAAGCCAGAGAUGAUCCUCUUUUCCAGCGGCUAGAAAUCCUUCUGGCUGUGCCAUAUAGAUUUCUUCUUCAAGCGCACCAUAAAGGAAUGCCGUGGUCACAUCCAUCUGUUCCAGAUCAAAGUCUCCCACCGCAGCAAAAUUAAUCAAGGAACGAAGAGUAGAAUGUUUAACCACUGGAGCGAAGGUGUCGUUGUAGUCAAGUCCAGGAACUUGCGAGCAUCCUUUUGCCACCAAUCGCACCUUGUAGCGAACCGAGCCAUCAGGAUUAAGCUUCAGAGCAUACACCCACAUGCUCUUGAUAAUCUGGCGAUUGGAAGGCACAGUUGGAACAAGAACAUGUGUCUCGUUCUUUUGCUGUGAAGCAAUCUCGGCUUCCAUUGCUACACGCCAGUAAGACGCUUCCUGUGAGGCCAUGGCUUCUCCAUAGGUCCUCGGAACAGUAGGAGUCCCAGCUGCACGAGAGGAGACCAUUGUCUCGAUGAGACGCUCAGUAGGCUACUUCCAGACUUUCAAGGAUAUGGGAGAAACACAAACUGGGAAAAUGCUCAAGCGAUUGAGAAGUGAUGGUGGAGGCGAAUUCACUUCCAAUGCUUUCAACCAGCUGUGUGAGCAAGGAGGGAUUGUGCGAGAACUUACAACGCGAGAGACUCCACAACAGAAUGGCGUAGCUGAGCGCAAGAAUCGCACACUAGUGGAGAGUGCUCGGGCAAUGCUACUUUCCAGUGGUUUGCCUCGCAGCUUCUGGUUUCACGCUGUCUUGACGGCGAACUAUCUCCAGAACCGGCUCCCCACCUCUGCCCUUGCUGGCAUCACUCCUGAAGAAGCAUGGAGUGGCAAGAAACCUACAGUUACGCAUUGGGCACACAUCCCUGAUGGAAUGCGCAAGAAAUUGGACCCCAAGAGCCAGAAGGCUGUGUUUGUGGGCUACAGCCUCGAUCACAAAGCCUAUCGUCUCUGGAAUCCAAUCACGAAGCAGGAGAUCCUGAGCAGAGAUGUGGUUUUCAACGAGAAUUCUUUUCUUCCUUCUAGUCAAGGUUCUACUUCCAGACCUACCUUGACCGAAGAAAAUGACGUUGAAGCGGAACAAGAUCAGUUGACUGUCGGCACGAUCACUGUGCCGCUUCAAACAGUCCCUACGCAACAACCCAUGCCCGCUUCUACUCCAACACCACCAGCCCCGCCGCCUCCUCCAGAUCCUCUACGCAGAUCGAUCCGCACAAGGCGCACUGGACGACUAAGAACCUGGAUCUAGACUUCAACGAGUGGUGGGAUUGGGUAUCGGCACCCAUGGCAGCCACUGUUCCUACAAAUCCGCCUCCAAAUCCACCACCUAUUUCCCCUCCCAUCACAAAUCCGACUGUGCCUACAGCGGAUAUCGUUUCAGUGGACGCAAAUCCACCAAAAUUUGAUGGGAGCAACUGGUGCUUCUGGAAGACAAAAUUCGAAUCCUAUAUGGAUGAACGAGGCCUCUGGGACAUCACCACAGGAACUGAGACACUUCCAGAUACAGCUACAGUGGAUGAAACUGCGAAGUAUCGCAAGAAGGACCGGAGAGCUUUGGGCAAAUUCCAUGCAGCGCUGGAGGGGCGAGAAUUUCAUUGCAUUGGACGGUGCAAGAGUGCAAAGGAAGCGUGGGAGGCCAUGAAGCAGACUUACCAGAUCCCUUCAACAUCCCAUCGCAUUUUUUUACGGAAGCAGCUUCAUGCACUGGUGAUGGCUGAAGGGGACGACCUCAAGGAUCAUCUUGCUGCAGCGAGAACAAUCUUAGAUGAUCUUAAGGAUGUGGGAGCAAACAUAGAGGAUGAAGAAGAAGCAGAGCUGGUGCUCGUCACACUUCCUCCAUCCUUUGAUCCUCUCAUACGUAACAGCCUCCAGGACGAUGAUCUGAGACGAAGAGCAACAACAGGAUCAGAGGCCGUUGCAUUCUACUCUUCUCUCAGGAAAGAAACAGUGAACAAAGGGAAACAAGGAGCCUCUUCAUCCAAGAAGCCCAAGUGUUCUCAUUGCAACAAGAAAGGCCAUGACGAAGCUCAAUGCUGGGUGAAAAAUCCAUCUCUCAAGCCUGUAAGGAACAAUGCAAAGAAAAAGGUGGUACACGCCUUCAUCUUGUCACGAGCUAUGGCAGUGGCAGCACUGUCUACAGAGUGCAUCUACCUGGAUUCUGCUGCUACAGACCAUAUGUUCAACAGUGAUAAGUACUUUGAAGCCUAUGAUCCUACAGCCACAGAGGAGUAUGUCAUCGUUGGCAAUGCCCAGCAGCUUGCUGUGAAAGGAAUUGGAACCAUCAAGUUGACUUUACCACAAGGAAUAGUCGUAAAGAUCCACAAGGUUAUUCCUGGUUUAUGUGCUAAUUUGUUCUCUGUGGGACAAUUUGCUGAGGAUGGGUAUCAGUUCGCCAUUACACCUCCCUUACCAUGCUGCCAGAUCUUGCUGGACGGAGUCUGGGCCUACACGCACAAAAGACAACGACCAGUCACUCACUGGAGCUUUGGCACGCACGCCUGGGGCAUCCUAGUGCUGAUAGAAUCAAGCAUCUCGCACGCGAGCAGAUGGUUGAAGGUCUAGACCUGGACCCAAGAGCAGUUCUUCCAUUGUGCCAGGGCUGUCAGCUAGGAAAAUCUACUCGCCAACCUUUCCCCAAGACUGGAGCAUCUCGAGGAACUUGUACACACUGAUGUGUGUGGCCCGAUGGCCACCACAGCAGUGGGAGGUAUCCAAUACUUUAUCAGUUUCAUUGAUGACUACAGUCGUCGCACUAUGAUCUACCCUAUGGCUCGCAAAUCCCAAUCGUUACACCCUCUUGCAAGGCCUGGAGCGCUUGGAUUAGGGCAUGCCUCUGUCCGGAGGCUCCGAUUCACCCUAGCAAGUGUUGCCCUGAUCCUAUGGUUUCGAAUUCUUCUCGCUCUCCCAGGCAUUGCUCUGAUACCAUCUAACGAAAGGUGAAACCGUGUGAUGGUGCUCAAGAUCCGUCAUAGCAUAUAUGAAAAUGUACAUACGUGUGACAUGGUGAACCGAUGAAGACUCGUGUCUCUCCACGUGGACUAGCCACGUGGCACAGGGCCACAGUUGCUGAUCUCUCUAUCUCUUGAAGCGCCCGAAGAGACAACGCAUGUUACUUUCGAUGAAUCGGCUGUUUCCCUCCCACAACCGGCCAAGACACACAACUCGGCUUGCAAAAAUGGCGAAGAGGUUUGCAAUUUUUUUUUUCCUUCUCUAUAUACUGAAGUCUCAAGCUUGCAGGGGUGCCAGAAUGCUGAAACGGAUUCUACCAGCCGGUGAGCUUGUUUUCUCGCGUGGCUAUUGGUGAAAUUCAUGGUGUUCUUGCUUUUUAAGGUUGCUUCGACUCGACUAUGCUGCCGCGAUGCGUCCCCAUCCUGAGAAGGUGCAAAGCUUACUUGCUAAUUUUUGUAGAUCUUCUAAGCUUUGCUGUUUACAGGCUCAAAGAGGGGGUGAAGAUGAUUUCUUCACUGAAGGCUCCUGGAUGGGUGUUGCUGAUGGUGUUGGGGGCUGGGCCGGAGAAGGUAAGAAAAAUCUUUCUUUGAGUAUGUUUCUUCAAAAGAGUUUUUACUGGUUUUCAGGCAUUGAUUCGGGGAUGUAUUCUCGGGAGCUUAUGGGACAUUGUAAGGCAUUGGUUGUAAACAGCAAAGGGAAACUGGACCCCAAGGACGUGCUUGUCAAAGCCGCCGGCAGUACAAAGGCCCAGGGAUCAGCAACGGUCCUUGUGGCUGCAUUGUUUGAGCAAGUAAGCUAGUCGGAUUUGAUGUUUGAGUCUGAGUCGGGUCAUAUAUUUCAGACAUGUACGCAGCAAAAUUGGGAGACUUGGGUUCAUCAUAGUUCGCAAUUGGGAGCCCAUGCAGCAUAGUUUUAACUUUCCGUUUCAAGUUGGAACUUUUGGUGACCAUCUUUUCCCUUAACUUUGCUAAUUUUCCGUCUACAGGAAUUCAAGAUCCCUGUCUGCAAGGGGGACAUCAUUGUUUUGGGAACUGAUGGCCUUUUUGACAAUCUCUUCAACGACGACAUAAUCGAAGUUCUUAAAAAAUCUCUUGGGUCCGACCAAGUCAACUUGAAAGUGAACUCUCGCUGUUGAAGAAUCUCAAGAUUGCUAAUAUUCUCUUCACUUUACAGGCAUGUAGCUGGGGCGCAGGCCGAGCGUUUGGACAAUUGGAGCGGUGGAAAGCGACGUGAUAUUUGAGUCGCGAAGGGUAAACUUUUCAAGCAGUUUUUGCGGAGGCCAGUGUAUAGGCCGCGGUAUUUCCGGUUCUUACGCUAAUUGAGCACCCUUUUGAUUGGCUCAUCUUCGUGUCUUUGGUGUCCAGCCUUCAUUAGAAACUGGUUUAAAUCGCAGGUAACUGCUGCUGAAUCUUCCUUUAAGAAAUCAAGGUUUUGUUCCAUCAGAAGGUUCACAGCCUGGAAGUUCUAGCCUCACUGGAGAUUGAACUCCGGACAGGACAGGUAUCUCUUCUGUUUAGAGGGAACUGCUCAGGGUGUUAGACGUGCCAGGGAAUCAGUUCAGCUGGACGAUCACGAGCCGGCAACAUGAUCUCUGGCUCGUCCUUCUCGGGGGUACAUGGAGCUGCUAGGCCUUUGGCGCGAUGGGAUCUUUCGCGACUGCGUGGCUCUCCAGGAGCUCUUCAACAGUCUCACUCCCCCAUCCAGCAGCAAACUCCGGAAUCUCAUGCUCGGCUCUACAUCUCUCAGCCAUCCAAGUGGGUGUGCGGGCUUGGAAGUGCUCGAACAACGUUUCGGAAGAGCUGUGUGGGCCGUAUCUUGUCUCUCAGCUUGGGCAGACUCUUUGAGUUUACUCGGAUCUCUCGGAGAACCGGUUGGAGGGGCUGGUUCUGAAGGACUAAGUGGUGGAAACCCUGCUACGGUCGGAUAGCAACAAAGAGCUCACGGAGAACAGCUUGAAGGACAGCUCCAGGCAAGCUCGUGUGGAGGAUCCUUGGAUACCGCUCUCGUCCCAGUACCGUGAGACUCCACCAGAAAGAUGGUGAGCGACGAAGGCAAUUGGCUGGAGCCGUGACUUCCUUCUUCGUCUCGAGUAUUUGGUCGCGUGUCCCGUCCACAUGGUAAGCCACGGAAUUGUUUCUUAGUUGCUCAAAUCUUAAUUCUUUCUGAUCUCCAGGUUGGUAAUCACCAUCACCAACUAAGAGGAAUUUUUUGCUUUGAGGUGGAGUUCGGUAGGCGACGAAGAAAAACUUUCCAGGAUGGGAGGAUGAAAAGUUACAGCCCGAGCUUGCUGUUCUUCGUGCUCCUCUUCUCCGCUGCGGCACUGCUACUCGUAUGGGUUCUCGACAUAAAUUCCGACUCCGCGAUGAUGUCCCGGAGCCGAACUAUGGGAUCAAACUUCCGCAUCAGCAACAACACCACAAGCUACAAGGGCAGCGACACUUGCAGGAGUAGGAACGAGUACGACUUCUACAGCCGCCGAAGAUCGACGAGCUUCGAGCCAUCCGAGUCGCUCCACCGGAAAAUCCUAGAGUACGAGGCUUUGCACGGGAGGUGCGCUCCGGGGCCCGAGCAGUGCGCGAACUGUAGUACAUGCGGCUACCUCGUCAAUGUUCCCGCCAGCCAGGGGAUCGGCAACAAGGUGGUGGCUAUAGUAGCAGCGUUUCUCUACGCGCUGCUCACCGACAGGACGAUGUUGAUCGCGAGGUUGGAGAACCUGGACACGCUCUUCUGCGAGCCGUUUCCAUCCAGCUCCUGGCUGCUGCCGUCGAGCUGGAAGCACCUCGAGUUGGCGCCGUGGGACGCCUCCAAGUGGAUUGGGAGCCUGGCGGGAUCGCCCAACUGCAGCCGCGGCGUCGACGUGAGCUUCCCCGAGGUGGUGGUGGCCUAGGACAAGGCCUUCUUCUGCCAAGACCACAGCAGGAGGCCAUCUUCCAUCUCCUGGUGAGGUACCGGUUGCUUCCCAGUGACUUCGUGUGGGACAAGGCGGCCAGGUACUACGACGCGUACCUGGCCCAGGCCGAGCUUCUAGUUGGGGUCCAGCUGCGAAGCCACAUCUGCCCAACCUCGCCGAGGAUACGUUCGACUGCCUGGUGCAACAAGGCCCGCUCGCAAACACCACCCAGGAGCGAGCUCCCAGAUCGUCGGUGAGGAAGAACAGCAAGAAGGUGGCGGUGUUGGUGGUGUCGCUCAAUUCGCAGUACUCGGAGACGCUCAAGAGCAAGGUGCUGGGAUACGAUCUAGCGGACGGUUCCUCGGUGUCCAUCCACCAGCCGAGCGUGGAGGGGGUGCAAAACACAGGGAACUUGGAUCACGACGCACAGGCGGUGAUGGAGAUCUACUUGCUGUCGAUGAGCGAUGUCCUGGUGACGAGCCCGCAAUCCACGUUUGGCUACUCGGCGGCAGGGGUGGCGGGCGUGCGGCCCGUGCAGUUUGUGUGCGACCAGAGAGCGUGGUUUGCUCGGUGAGGGAGACGAUGGAGCCGUGCUACCACGUUUAUCCGGCUCAGUUCGCGUUGGGCAACAUUGAAAAGUGCGAAUGCGGCGUGGGUUCAAGCUUUUAAGAUUUUAUUUUCUUUCUCGUGAUAGAUUUCUAAGUUGCUCCUUGGCUGCAUGAUGCAACUCUAGCGUCUUUUGUAGAUUUGCGUGGUCAGCUAGCUCAUGCUCUUGGCCCACGCAAAGUUGCGCCAAGGCUGCCUUGAAAUCCCACAUACACGGAAAAGGUAAUUUGGUGCCAAGAGCUUAUAGACUUUGAAUGGCGAACUGUCGUUUUGUCCAGGACUUUGAAAAGCUGCUCGUAUAGUGUUCUGGCUUGGAAGCUAACGAGUCUUGUUUUGACAGAUGGCACGCGCAAAGGACUUGACUGUUUACCAAGCCCGGUGGAGAACUUUUGUGUGAAUAUAAAACACUGGAGGCCCAUUGGAUCCAAUCGUAUCGGAGCAAGCACAGCUCUUGGUUCUUAUACAACGAUAUCAUCACUAUGUUUAGUGCUUUUGUGGCUGGAAUGGAUCGUGCAAAGAUACUUCUUGCCAUCGCAUUGGUGAUCAUGAUCAGCGGCAACAUCGAAUGUUGCAGGCCGCGUUUUCGGUGAUGAGCCGGCAGGCCGAGCUUUUCAAUUCCGAAUUGCGCCUUCCUGUUGUUAACAAGAUCCACACUCUUCUCGAAAGAACCUCCCGGAGAAUGCUCAUCCAGGGUCAGCCCACGCCAGCUCCCGGGCCUUCCGGGUGCUGCCACGAUAAUUGAAGAGGCGGACAGCCACGUGGCUGACACGUCACGCUGGGCAGGCUCUUUUCAUCUAAAUCCUCCACCUUCCCCACCUCCGCUCCCUCCCAUUACAGUCACACAUCAAUUUACAGCUUGCGUCCAGGAGGCGGUUGUCUCACCAGGUGAAGGGAAAUGAUAAAGGCAACUUUCCAUUUUUCCUUGACUUGAGAGCUGCGUGGAAUUCCCAGAAGUUCCAGUCCAGCAAGUAAAGUCUCCACAAGACUUUCAGGGAUGUCUUGUACAGCUGCGAACAAUCAGCCGUGGUGGUGGCUUGCCCUUGUUCUGGCGAGAAGAUCUGCAAAGAGGAGCGGCUGCAGUGAGUCUUGAAGAUUCGCAGGUCGUUCGGAUUGGGCAUUGGGCAGCAAUGGCAAAGGCAGAUUUUCUCCCACUUGACGUGAUGGAGUCUCAUUGGAAUGCACGUCUGGUGAGAUGAUCAGCGCCUUGGAGACAGGAUUGUAGACCUUGUAAGCCUUGUGUUCAAUGCCAUAGCCUAGGAAAAUGCCUCGUUCGCUUGUUGGAGAGUUAUAGAGGGGAUAUGGACGCCAUGGAAGGUGCGCUAAUCCAUUCGAAUUCCACUUUGUGCAAGAACCCUUGACAAUCCUGGACCUCAACAUUGGCAAGCACUUAAACGCGUCUUUUGGUACUUCCGAGAUACGUUUUCUUACGGUCUUAAGGCCACGAGUCAAGCUUACUGGGCUGGCUUUGGCUAAAUUGUUUAGCCUUCACAAUGCAGUUAGCAGCAAGAAGAAGAGCGUCGUUGCCUGCUCCAGCUGUGAGGCGGAGGCUAGUUCCGCAUGCAAAGAGGCCAUCUGGCGUCGCCGCCUCCUCAACGACACCCCGCCCAACACCAAUCUACUGUGAGAAUCAAGGCUACGUCGCCUCGAGCAAACAUCACAAGAUUAAUUCCCGGACGAAACACGCACCACGCUGGGAGACACGUCCAGUUCUUUCCAUGUUCUUGUGAUUCCAAUCUCGAUAAUGCAAUCUUAAUUGAACAUCACAACAGCCUGGAAAUCGAGUCCACUGCUUCAUCCCACCAAACAAUCUGAUCUCGUGCACAGCAUGAAACGAACUCUCCUGAUAGAGCCAUACAGAACCUUCUCAUGUCCAGCCACUUGAUUAUUCUAUGCAGCACACUCAAAUACGUCCAGGUAAAUCUCGAAAUCCUCUCAAAGUAGGCUAAAGGAGAUACUUUCUCAUCUUGCCAAAAGCCCCUUCUAACAGGGUUAGAGAGGGCUUGGGUGAGUUGGCAAGGUGUAGUUUUGGUCUUUCCCUUGAAAGAUCAUGGACCUCACUUCACUACAGUGUCACCUUUAGCCCAUUACAAUGCUGCAUAAAGGGAUCACUGCGUUUGCUCAUUGUGGCGAGGGCGAGAAAGUCCUCGAUGGGAGCGUGGAAGGUGACACUCCGGCCUGCGCCUACAUCAGCUCCGUGAAUCGCAACAAGGAUUUCUUUCUUCUCGUGACAGGGGAUUUUAGGAUCGCGCCAGGCAGGGUCUGCAUGAUCGAUAUGUUCGGCUGGAGAAUGCCGAGGAAUUGCUGCGUGCCAUGCCGUUUGUGACGGAUGCUCUGGUUUGUAGGGUUUUGGUGGCAUCUUGCCGAUCGCAUUACGAUAUAUAUCGGGCAUUGGAUGGCAAAUCGCUCCAGGAGCGUGUUUAAAAUGGAAAUUGGCGGGAAAGCGAUGUGUUUGUUUUUUAUUCUAUCUAGCUGUGCUUACGAAAGUUUCCGAAAGGUAAGAGCUUUGGAAAAAUAAUUUAUUUAUAUAUGUAACUUAGUCAAGUCAGCCUCGCAACCUUUGGAGAAACUUUCAAGUCAUGCCGAUGAGCUCUCUCAACUUCUGGAUGAGACCACGGUCGUCAAUUUGGAACGCUUUCGCGAUCACGUCGUCGUUGAUUGGAGGAUUGGAAUCAAACACCGCCUUGGCCACCUGAGUCGCCCCGGGGUUUUGGCUGUUGAAGCCAGCCAUCGCAACCGCAGGCUCCUUUCCAACGUUGAGCUGGAAGUGGACGAGUCCCCUAGGGAAGACGAACAGAUCUCCAGGAUAGAGCAUUUGGGCGAAGAGCUUGUUGUCCGGCAAUGUGGUGACGAAUCCGACUAAGAGGUUCCCGUGCACGAGGAAGAGCAGCUCGGAUCCUCGGGGAUGGACGUGGGGGGGAUUGGUGCCGCCGGGAGCAUAGUCGAUGCGGGCAAAAGCUACACCAAAGGUGUUGAGACCGGGGAAAUUGUUGACACUCGCCAGCGUGACGUUGGAGCCGAGCUUGUUGUCGGUGUUCCCGGGAGUCGCCAGCAGGCUCGACUUGAAGUCCUCGGCUUUCACAUCGGCAGCCGCCUUGCAGACGACGCCAUUCACUUUGAUCUUGGAGCCAUUGUCUGCAACGCAAAAGUCCUGCAGCAUAUCUUCAUCCGCGGCAUGCACAAACAAGAUGGAGCUGAUUGCUAGGAGGAAGGAUAGAACAAAACGAAGAUGAGCCAUCUUGCGAGCUUGGAAAAGACUGAUGGAGCUAUAUGAGGGAGGGGCAGGCAUUUUAUAGCCGGAGGAGGGGAGGCGAGGUCCUUUGGAUGACUUCGUCGUGAAUCGUGCACGAUUUUAGGUACACGGUCUUCUGUUCCCUUCUAUUUCAUUUUUUACUCUUGCUGUCCGCGUAACACAAUCUGAUUUGUUUGCUGCCAAGUCGUCUCGGAAGUUUUCUUUUACCGGGCUUGUCUAGAGCCGUCAAAAUCAUCUUUUAUGUGUGUAGAUGAUGACGACUGAUGGUAAGAACCGGUCUCAGUGAAACUCGAGUUUUACACGGUCUUAAAAACUUGACACUAAAUUGCUUUAUUCUUCUACCAGAGACUUUUUAUGUGUGGAGUUUUAACGGAAUUAUUAUGGAUUGUGUAGGUCCAUUGCUGAUACAAAUAAACUAUGGGUAUAUCGACCAAAGGUACGUCUAUGUAGGUUAUCAAUUUUGCAGACAACUGUGUAGAAGGAUAGUUGCUCACAUAGUCAUGAGACAUACAUAGUCAUAGUCAUUGUGAUUAUUGCUUGCAUCAUUGUCAUGGGCAAAAUAGAAUGUUUAUUGCUGCUACUUUAUUAAUCACUUUAAUACAAUAAACUUAUGAUAUUAAAAAGUUUAAUAAUUUGUCCCACCAUUGCAAUCUAGGAAAGCAUCCAGUUGGGGUGGUGGGAGCGAACUAAGAAAACACUCCUGUGCUGCUGUGUGAGCAUGUCAAUCAGUCAGCUGACCUCAGUAUCAGUGGUCGUGGGCAGUGCAUUCUAAAGCUCUUGGACUUGUUGGGCAAAGUCGGGCACCCAUGCUGGCAUGACUUAGUCGUGGCCACAGUGAGUUCUGGUUGUUGAUAGGAGUGUUGUAAGCAGCAUACGCAUCCUAGUCAGACAUGAGGCGGUCAAGAACUCUUGGAAUUCCCCGCCAUACCAUUUUGUCAAGGAAAAAUCUAAACAGUACACCACAUUAUUAAAGAAUAGUUUGGCUGACCAAAAUGUAAUCGUUUGUACUACUCCUGUUCCAUCUAUGGUGCCCAAUUGUGUAGUGCUGUUAACAAUGUAGAGUUGGGAGGCACCAUUAGUCAUGUGGAUGUCCUCCGCUGCUGCCUGGUUCCAGGAGCCCUUCUGCUGUUGUUAGUUGAGCCUGCAAAGUCCAUUGCAAUAUUAAAAACGUUUAAUUGCCCAGCCAGUCUCACUGGUUUGAUCGGUCAGUGUAUAGUUUUAUCUUAAGAGUAACAUUCCACGAACUAGAGAGUAGAAUUUAGCUGCUCAACCAAAGUCCCACCCAUAUCCAUAACCCAUGCCUUGUCCACCAGUGGAAUCAACUCUCUGCGAGGAAAGAAAAUAAGAUCCAAGCACUAAUCACGCAAGUUUACCGCAGAUCAUGGCUCAUAACGAGCAACGUCCUCUCCUUCUUUAAGCACGCGAGGUAAGAAUGUAGCUUGGAAUUUUUGGUGAGGUGUUGCUGAUCUCUCUAUCUCUUGAAGCGCCCGAAGAGACAACGCAUGUUACUUUCGAUGAAUCGGCUGUUUCCCUCCCACAACCGGCCAAGACACACAACUCGGCUUGCAAAAAUGGCGAAGAGGUUUGCAAUUUUUUUUUUCCUUCUCUAUAUACUGAAGUCUCAAGCUUGCAAGGGUGCCAGAAUGCUGAAACGGAUUCUACCAGCCAGUGAGCAUGUUUACGUUUUGCGUGGCUACUGGUGAAAUUCAUGGUGUUCUUGCUUUUAAGGUUGCUUUGACUCAACUAUGCUGCCGCGAUGCGUCCCCAUCCUGAGAAGGUGCAAAGCUUACUUGCUAAUUUUUGUAGAUCUUCUAAGCUUUGCUGUUUACAGGCUCAAAGAGGGGGUGAAGAUGCCUUCGUCACAGAAGGCUCCUGGAUGGGUGUUGCUGAUGGUGUUGGGGGCUGGGCCGGAGAAGGUAAGACAAAUCUUUCUUUGAGUCUGUUUCUUCAAAAGAGUUUUUACUGGUUUUCAGGCAUUGAUUCGGGGAUGUAUUCUCGGGAGCUUAUGGGACACUGUGGCAUUGGUUGUAAACAGCAAAGGGAAACCGGACCCCAAGGACGUCAGUACAAAGGCCCAGGGAUCAGCAACGGUCCUUGUGGCUGCAUUGUUUGAGCAAGUAAGCUAGUCGGAUUUGAUGUUUGAGGCUGAGUCGGGUCAUAUAUUUCAGACAUGUACGCAGCAAACUUGGGAGACUUGGGUUCAUCAUAGUUCAAGCUCGGAGCCCAUGCAGCAUAGUUUUAACUUUCCGUUUCAAGUUGGAACAUUUGGUGACCAUCCGACGGUUGCAGAGGUACUCUUGCUUUUCCCUUAACUUCGCUAAUUUUCCGUCUACAGGAAUUCAAGAUCCCUGUCUGCAAGGGGGACAUCAUUGUUUUGGGAACUGAUGGCCUUUUUGACAAUCUCUUCAACAACGACAUAGUCGAAGUUCUUAAAAAAUCUGACCAAGUCAACUUGAAGGUGAACUCUCGCUGUUGAAGAAUCUCAAGAUUGCUAAUAUUCUCUUCACUUUACAGGCAUGUAGCUGGGGCGUAGGCCGAGCGUUUGGAUAGCCCGUUUGCUAGGGGGGCUGCAAAGGCGAGAAUGAAUUGGAGCGGUGGAAAGCUGUUGUGGCGUUUGUGACGUGAUAUUUGAGUCGCGAAGGGUAAACUUUUCAAGCAGUUUUUGCGGAGGCCAGUGUAAAUUGCUCAGGCCGCGGUAUUUCCGGUUCUUACGCUAAUUGAGGUAUGACACCCUUUUGAUUUUAUUCUUCGUGUCUUUGGUGUCUAGCCUUCAUUAGAAACUGGUUUAAAUCGCAGGUAAAUCUUCCUUUAAGAAAUCAAGGUUUUAUUCCAUCAGAAGGUUCACAGCCUGGAAGUUCUAGCCUCACUGGAGAUUGAACUCCGGACAGGACAGGUAUCUCUUCUGUUUAGAGGGAACUGCUCAGGGUGUUAGACAUGUCAGGGAAUCAGUUCAGCUGGACGAUCACGAGCCGGCAACAUGAUCUCUGGCUCGUCCUUCUCGGGGGUACAUGGAGCUGCUAGGCCUUUGGCGCGAUGGGAUCUUUCGCGACUGCGUGGCUCUCCAGGAGCUCUUCAACAGUCUCACUCCCCCGUCCAGCAGCAAACUCCGGAAUGUCAUUCUCGGUUCUACAUCUCUCAGCCAUCCAAAUGGGUGUGCGGGCUUAGAAGUGCUCGAACAACGUUUCGGAGGAGCUCGUGUGGGCCCUAUCAUGUCUCUCAGCUUGGGCAGACUCUUUGAGUUUGCUUGGAUCUCUCAGAGAACCAGUUGAAGGGGAUGGUUCUGAAGGACUAAGUGGUGGAAACCCUGCUACGGUCGAAUAGCAACAAAGAGCUCACAGAGAACAGCUUGAAGGACAGCUCCAGGCGAGCUCAUGUGGAGGAUCCUUGGAUACCACUUUCGUCCAGUACCGUGAGACUCCACCAGAAAGAUGGUGAGGAAGGUGGCGACAAGCCAAUUGGCUGGAGCUGUGACUUCCUUCUUUGUCUCGAGUAUUUGGUCGCGUGUCCCGUCCACAUGGUGAGCCACGGAAUUGUUUCUUAGUUGCUCAAAUCUUAAUUCUUUCUGAUCUCCAGGUUGGUAAUCACCAUUACCAAAUAAGAGGAAUUUUUUGCAUUGAGGCUUUGCAGUUCGGUAGGCGACGAAGAAAAACUUUCCAGGAUCGGAGGAUGAAAAGUUACAGCCCAAGCUUGCUGUUCUUCGUGCUCCUCUUCUCCGCUGCGGCACUGAUACUCGUAUGGAUUCUCGACAUAAAUUCCGACUCCGCAAUGAUGUCCCGGAGCCGAACUCUGGGAUCAAACUUCCGCAUCAGCAACAACACCACAAGCUACAAGGGCAGCGACACUUGCAGGAGUAGGAACGAGUACGACUUCUACAGCCGCCGAAGAUCAGCGAGCUUCGAGCCAUCCGAGUCGGUCCAACGGAAAAUCAUAGAGUACGAGGCUUUGCACGGGAGGUGCGCUCCGGGCCCGAGCAGUGCGCGAACUGUAGUACAUGCGGCUACCUCGUCUACGUUCCCGCCAACCAGGGGAUCGGCAACAAGAUGGUGGCUAUAGUAGCAGCGUUUCUCUACGCGCUGCUCACCGACAGGACGAUGCUGAUCGCGAGGUUGGAGAACCUGGACACGCUCUUCUGCGAGCCGUUUCCAUCCAGCUCCUGGCUGCUGCCGUCGAGCUGGAAGCACCUCGAGUUGGCGCCGUGGGACGCCUCCAAGUGGAUUGGGAGCCUGGCGGGUUCGCCCAACUGCAGCCGCGGCGUCGACGUGAGCUUCCCCGAGGUGGUGGUGGCCUAUCUCGAUUACAACUACAGGGACCAGGACAAGGCCUUCUUCUGCCAAGAUCAACAGCAAGCUCUCAACUCCAGCGCGCGGUGGAUCGUCCUCUCCUCCGGCCAGUACUUCACUCCGGCGCUCUACAACGUCCCGACUUUCAGGAGCAAACUCGAGGAAUUGUUCCCACAGCAGGAGGCCAUCUUCCAUCUCCUGGUGAGGUACCUGUUGCUUCCCAGUGACUUCGUGUGGGACAAGGCGGCCAGGUACUACGACGCAUACCUCGAAACCACAUCUGGUUCUCGCCACCCAACCUCGCCGAGGAUACGUUCGACUGCCUGGUGCAACAAGGCGCGCUCGCAAACACCACCCAGGAGCGAGCUCCCAGAUCGUCGGUGCGAGCUCCCAGAUCGUCGGUGCGAGCUCCCAGAUCGUCGGUGAGGAAGAACAGCAAGAAGGUGGCGGUGCUGGUGGUGUCGCUCAACUCGCAGUACUCGGAGACGCUCAAGAGCAAGGUGCUGGGAUACGAUCUAGCGGACGGUUCCUCGGUGUCCAUCCACCAGCCGAGCGUGGAGGGGGUGCAAAACACAGGGAACUUGGAUCACGACGCACAGGCGGUGAUGGAGAUCCACUUGCUGUCGAUGAGCGAUGUCCUGGUGACGAGCCCGCCAUCCACGUUUGGCUACUCGGCGGCGGGGCUGGCGGGCGUGAGGCCCGUGCAGUUCGUGUGCGACCAGAGCGUGGUUUGCUCAGUGAGGGAGACGAUGGAGCCGUGCUACCACGUUUAUCCGGCUCAGUUCGCGCUGGACAACAUUGAAAAGUGCGAAUGCGGUGGGGUUUCAGACUAGUCUAAAGGACAUUCUUAGAAAGGGUGUUGUCUUAGAAAGUUCUAAGAUUUUAUUUUCUUUUUCGUGAUAGAUUUCUAAGUUGCUCCUUGGCUGCAUGAUGCAAAUCUAGCGUCUUUUGUAGAUUUGCGUGGUCAGGUCAUGCUCUUGGCCCACGCAAAGUUGCGCCAAGGCUGCCUUGAAAUCCGACAUACACGGAACAGGUAAUUUGCUACCAAGAGCUUAUAGACUUCAAAUGGCGAGCUGUCUUUUGUGCAGGACUUUGAAAAACUGCCCAUAUAGUGUUCUGGCUUGGAAGCUAACGAUUCUUAUUUUGACAGAUGGCACGCGCAAAGGACUUGACUGUUUACCAAGCCCGGUGCUGUUUGUGUGAAUAUAAAACAGUGGAGGCCCAUUGGAUCCAAUUGUAUCGGAGCAAGCACGGCUCUUGGUUCUUAUACAACGAUAUCAUCACUAUGUUUAGUGCUUUUGUGGCUGGAAUGAAUCGUGGAAAGAUACUUCUUGCCAUCGCAUUGGUGAUCAUGAUCAGCGGCAACAUCGAAUGUUGCAGGCCGGGCUCGUUUUCGGUGAUGAGCCAGCAGGGCGAGCUUUUCAAUUCCGAAUUGCACUUUCCUGUUGUUAAAAAGAUCCACACUCUUCUCGAAAGAACCUCCCGGAGAAUGCUCACCCAGGGUCAGCCCACGCCAGCUCCCGGCCCUUCCGGGUGCUGCCACGAUAAUUGAAGUGGCGGACAGCCACGUGGCUGACACGUCAUGCAAGGCUCUUUCCAUCUGGCGGCGAAUUCUCCUCCAAAUCCUCCACCUCCACUCCUUUCCCCAUUCUUCCCCACCUCCGCUCCCUCCCAUUACAGUCACACAUCAAUUUACCCAGCUUGCGUCCAGGAGGCGCUUGUCUCACCAAGGUGAAGGGGAAUGAUAAAGGCAACUUUCCAUUUUUCCUUGACUUGAGAGCUGCGUGGAAUUCCCAGAAGUUCCACUCCAGCAAGUAAUGUCUCCACAAGACUUUCAGGGAUGUCUUGUACAGCUGCGAGCAAUCAGCCGUGGUGGUGGCUUGCCCUUGUUCUGGCGAGAAGAUCUGCAAAGAGGAGCGGCUGCAGUGAGUCUUGAAGAUUCGCAGGUCGUUCGGAUUGGGUAUUGGGCAGCACUGGCAAAGGCAGAUUUUCUCCCACUUGACGUGAUGGAGUCUCAUUGGAAUGCACGUUUGGUGAGAUGAUCAGCGCCUUGGAGACAGGAUUGUAGACCUUGUAAGCCUUGUGUUCAAUGCCAUAGCCUAGGAAAAUGCUUCGUUCGCUUGUUGGAGUGUGUUUUUUUUCUAGUUAUAGAGGGGAUAUGGACGCCAUGGAAGGUGCGCUAAUCCAUUCGAAUUCCACUUUGUGCAAGAACCCUUGACAAUCCUGGACCUCAACAUUGGCAAGCACUUAAACGAGUCUUUUGGUACUUCCGAGAUACGUUUUCUUACGGUCUUAAGGCCACAAGUCAAGCUUACUGGGCUGGCUUUGGCUAAAUUGUUUAGCCUUCACAAUGCAGUUGGCAGCAAGAAGCAGAGCGUCCUUGCCUGCUCCGGCUGUGAGGCGGAGGCUAGUUCCGCAUGCAAAGAGGCCAUCUGGCUUUGCCGCCUCCUCAACGACACCCGGCCCAACACCAAUCUACUGCAACAAUCAAGGCUGCAUCGCCUUGAGCAAACAUCACAAGAUUAAUUCCCGGACGACACACGCACCACGCUGAGAGACACGUCCAGUUCUUUCCAUGUUCUUGUGAUUUCAAUCUCGAUAAUGCAAUCUUAAUUGAACAUCACAACAGCCUGGAAAUCGAGUCCGCUGCUUCAUCCCACCAAACAAUCUGAUCUCGUGCACAGCAUGAAACAAACAUUCUCUGUGCCUCUCCUGAUAGAGCCAUACAGAACCUUCUCAUGUCCAGCCACUUGAUUAUUAUAUGCAGCACACUCAAAUACGUCCAGGUAAAUCCCGAAAUCCUCUCAAAGUAGGCUAAAGGAGAUACUUUGUCAUCUUGCCAAAAGUCCCUUCUAACACAUGCUUGAGGGUUAGAGAGGGCUUGGGUGAGUUGGCAAGGUGUAGUUUUGGUCUUUCCCUUGAAAGAUCAUGGACCUCACUUAACUACAGUAUCACCUUUAGCCCAUUACAAUGCUGCAUAAAGGGAUCACUGCGUUUGCUCAUUGUGGCGAGGGCGAGAAAGUCCUCGAUGGGAGCGUGGAAGGUGACACUCCGGCCUGCGCCUACAUCAGCUCCGUGAAUCGCAACAAGGAUUUCUUUCUUCUCGUGACAGGGGAUUUUAGGAUCGCACCAGGCACAGGCAACUGGAGAAUGCCAAGGAAUUGCUGCGUGCCAUGCCGUUUGUGCCGGAUGCUCUGGUUUGUAGGGUUUUGGUGGCAUCUUGCCGAUCGCAUUACGAUAUAUUUCGGGCAUUGGAUCGACGUAUGUCCUGGCAAAUCGCUCCAGGAGCGUGUUUAAAAUGGAAAUUGGCGGGAAAGCGAUGUGUUUGUUUUUUAUUCUAUCUAGCUGUGCUUAUGAAAGUUUCCGAAAGGUAAGAGCUUUGGAAAAAUAAUUUAUUUAUAUAUGUAACUUAGUCAAGUCAGCCUCGCAACCUUUGGAGAAACUUUCAAGUCAUGCCGAUGAGCUCUCUCAACUUCUGGAUGAGACCACGGUCGUCAAUCUGGAACGCUUUCGCGAUCACGUCGUCGUUGAUUGGAGGAUUGGAAUCAAACACCGCCUUGGCCACCUGAGUCGCCCCGGGGUUUUGGCUGUUGAAGCCAGCCAUCGCAACCGCAGGCUCCUUUCCAACGUUAAGCUGAAAGUGGACGAGUCCCCGAGGGAAGACGAACAGAUCUCCAGGAUAGAGCAUUUGGGCGAAGAGCUUGUUGUCCGGCAAGGUGGUGACGAAUCCGACUAAGAGGUUCCCGUGCACGAGGAAGAGCAGCUCGGAUCCUCGGGGAUGGACGUGGGGGGGAUUGGUGCCGCCGGGAGCAUAGUCGACGCGGGCAAAAGCUACACCAAAGGUGUUGAGACCGGGGAAAUUGUUGACACUCGCCAGCGUGACGUUGGAGCCGAGCUUGUUGUCGGUGUUCCCGGGAGUCGCCAGCAGGCUCGACUUGAAGUCCUCGGCUUUCACAUCGGCGGCCGCCUUGCAGACCACGCCGUUCACUUUGAUCUUGGAGCCAUUGUCCGCAACGCAAAAGUCCUGCAGCAUAUCUUCAUCCGCGGCAUGCACAAACAAGAUGGAGCUGAUUGCUAGGAGGAAGGAUAGAACAAAACGAAGAUGAGCCAUCUUGCGAGCUUGGAAAAGACUGAUGGAGCUAUAUGAGGGAGGGGCAGGCAUUUUAUAGCCGGAGGAGGGAAGGCGAGGUCCUUUGGAUGACUUCGUCGUGAAUCGUGCACGAUUUUAGGUACACGGUCUUUUCUUCCCUUCUAUUUCAUUUUUUACUCUUGCUGUCCGCGUAACACAAUCUGAUUUGUUUGCUGCCAAGUCGUCUCAGAAGUUUUCUUUUACCGGGCUUGUCUAGAGCUGUCAAAUUCAUCUUUUAUGUGUGUAGAUGAUGACGACCUUGGUUUUGAUGGUCAGAAUGAAACUCGAGUUUUACACGGUUUUAAAAACUUGACACUAAAUUGCUUUGUUCUUCUACCAGAGACUUUUUAUGUGUGGAGUUUUAACGGAAUUAUUAUGGAUUGUGUAGGUCCAUUGCUGAUACAAAUAAACUAUGGGUAUAUCGACCAAAGGUACGUCUAUGUAGGUUAUCAAUUUUGCAGACAACUGUGUAAAAGGAUAGUUGCUCACAUAGUCAUGAGACAUACAUAGUUAUAGUCAUUGUGAUUAUUGCUUGCAUCAUUGUCAUGGGCAAAAUAGAAUGUUUAUUGCUGCCACUUUAUUAAUUAGUUUAAUGCAAUAAACUUAUGAUAUUAAAAAGUUUUAUAAUUUGUCCCACCAGUGCAAUCUAGGAAAGCAUCCAGUUGGGGUGGUGGGAGUGAACUGAGAGAUACUCCUAUGCUGCUGUGUGAGCAUGUCAAUCAGUCAGCUGACCUCAGUAUCAGUGGUCGUGGGCAGUGCAUUCUAAAGCUCUUGGACUUGUUGGGCAAAGUCGGGCACCCAUGCUGGCAUGACUUGGUCGUGAUUCUGGUUGUUGAUAGGAGUGUUGUAAGUAGCAUAUGCAUCCUAGUCAGACAUGAGGCGGUCAAGAACUCUUGGAAUUCCCUGCCAUUGCAAAGAAACAAAGAAAAAAUAUCAAUGGCUAACUUUCAUUCACCAUUUUGUCAAGGAAAAAUCUAAACAAUACACCACAUUAUUAAAGAAUAGUUUGGCUGACCAAGAUGUAAUCGUUUGUACUACUCCUGUUCCAUCUAUGGUGCCCAAUUGUGUAGUGCUGUUAAUAAUGUAGAGUUGAGAGGCAUUAUUAGUCAUGUGGAUGUCCUCUGCUGCUGCCUGGUUCGAGGAGCCCUUCCGCUGUUGUGAGUUGAGCCUGCAAAGUCCGUUGCAAUAUUAAAAACGUUUAACUGCCCAGUCAGCCUCACUGGUUUGAUCGGUCAGUGUAUAGUUUUAUCUUAAGAGUAACAUUCCACGAACUAGAGAGUAGAAUUUAGCUGCUCAACCAAAGUCCCACCCAUAUCCAUAACCCAUGCCUUGUCCACCAGUGGAAUCAACUCUCUGCGAGGAAAGAAAAUAAGAUCCAAGCACUAAUCACGCAAGUUUACCGCAGAUCAUGGCUCACAACGAGCAACGUCCUCUCCUUCUUUAAGUACGCGAGGUAAGAAUGUAGCUUGGAAUUUUUGGUGACGUGUUGCUGAUCUCUCUAUCUCUUGAAGCGCCCGAAGAGACAACGCAUGUUACUUUCGAUGAAUCGGCUGUUUCCCUCCCACAACCGGCCAAGACACACAACUCGGCUUGCAAAAAUGGCGAAGAGGUUUGCAAUUUUUCUUUCCUUCUCUAUAUACUGAAGUCUUAAGCUUGCAAGGGUGCCAGAAUGCUGAAACGGAUUCUACCAGCCAGUGAGCUUGUUUACGUUUCGCGUGGCUAUUGGUGAAAUUCAUGGUGUUCUUGCUUUUAAGGUUGCUUCGACUCGACUAUGCUGCGGCGAUGCGUCCCCAUCCUGAGAAGGUGCAAAGCUUACUUGCUAAUUUUUGUAGAUCUUCUAAGCUUUGCUGUUUACAGGCUCAAAGAGGGGGUGAAGAUGCCUUCGUCACAGAAGGCUCCUGGAUGGGUGUUGCUGAUGGUUCUGGGGGCUGGGCCGGAGAAGGUAAGACAAAUCUUUCUUUGAGUCUGUUUCUUCAAAAGAGUUUUUACUGGUUUUCAGGCAUUGAUUCGGGGAUGUAUUCUCGGGAGCUUAUGGGACACUGUAAGGCAUUGGUUGUAAACAGCAAAGGGAAACCGGACCCCAAGGACGUGCUUGUCAAAGCCGCCGGCAGUACAAAGGCCCAGGGAUCAGCAACGGUCCUUGUGGCUGCAUUGUUUGAGCAAGUAAGCUAGUCGGAUUUGAUGUUUGAGGCUGAGUCGGGUCAUAUAUUUCAGACAUGUACGCAGCAAACUUGGGAGACUUGGGUUCAUCAUAGUUCGCAAUUGGCAAGUAGUUGCAAGCUCGGAGCCCAUGCAGCAUAGUUUUAACUUUCCGUUUCAAGUUGGAACAUUUGGUGACCAUCCGACGGUUGCAGAGGUACUCUUGCUUUUCCCUUAACUUCGCUAAUUUUCCGUUUACAGGAAUUCAAGAUCCCUGUCUGCAAGGGGGACAUCAUUGUUUUGGGAACUGAUGGCCUUUUUGACAAUCUCUUCAACAACGACAUAAUCGAAGUUCUUAAAAAAUCUGACCAAGUCAACUUCAAGGUGAACUCUCGCUGUUAAGAUUGCUAAUAUUCUCUUCACUUUACAGGCAUGUAGCUGGGACGUAGGCCGAGCGUUUGGACAGCCCGUUUGCUAGGGGGGCUGCAAAGGCGAGAAUGAAUUGGAGCGGUGGAAAGCUGUUGUGGCGUUUGUGACGUGAUAUUUGAGUCGCGAAGGGUAAACUUUUCAAGCAGUUUUUGCGGAGGCCAGUGUAAAUUGCUCAGGCCGCGGUAUUUCCGGUUCUUACGCUAAUUGAGGUAUGACACCUUUUUGAUUUUAUUCAAACGGCUCAUCUUCGUGUCUUUGGUGUCUAGCCUUCAUUAGAAACUGGUUUAAAUCGCACGUAGCUGCUGCUGAAUCUUCCUUUAAGAAAUCAAGGUUUUGUUCCAUCAGAAGCUUCACAGCGUGGAAGUUCUAGCCUCACUGGAGAUUGAACUCCGGACAGGACAGGUAUCUCUUCUGUUUAGAGGGAACUGCUCAGGGUGUUAGACAUGUCAGGGAAUCAGUUCAGCUGGACGAUCACGAGCCGGCAACAUGAUCUCUGGCUCGUCCUUCUCGGGGGUACAUCGAGCUGCUAGGCCUUUGGCACGAUGGGAUCUUUCGCAACUGCGUGGCUCUCCAGGAGCUCUUCAACAGUCUCACUCCCCCGUCCAGCAGCAAACUCCGGAAUGUCAUUCUCGGCUCUACAUCUCUCAGCCAUCCAAAUGGGUGUGCGGGCUUGGAAGUGCUCGAACAACGUUUCGGAGGAGCACGUGUGGGCUGUAUCUUGUCUCUCAGCUUGGGCAGACUCUUUGAGUUUGCUCGGAUCUCUCGGAGAACCGGUUGGAGGGGCUGGUUCUGAAGGACUAAGUGGUGGAAACCCUGCUACGGUCGGAUAGCAACAAAGAGCUCACGGAGAACAGCUUGAAGGACAGCUCCAGGCGAGCUCGUGUGGAAGAUCCUUGGAUACCGCUCUCAUCCCAGUACCGUGAGACUCCACCAGAAAGAUGGUGAGCGACGAAGUCAAUUGGCUGGAGCUGUGAGUUCCUUCUUCGUCUUGAGUAUUUGGUCGCGUGUCCCGUCCACAUGGUAAGCCACGGAAUUGUUUCUUAGUUGCUCAAAUCUUAAUUCUUUCUGAUCUUCAGGUUAGUAAUCACCAUCACCAACUAAGAGGAAUUUUUUGCAUUGAGGUGGAGUUCGGGAGGCAACUUUCCAGGAUCGGAGGAUGAAAAGUUACAGCCCGAGCUUGCUGUUCUUCGUGCUCCUCUUCUCCGCUGCAGCACUGCUACUCAUAUGGGUUCUCGACAUAAAUUCCGACUCUGCGAUGAUGUCCCGGAGCCGAACUCUGGGAUCAAACUUCCGGAUCAGCAACAACACCACAAGCUACAACGGCAGCGACACUUGCAGGAGCAGGAACGAGUACGACUUCUACAGCCGCCGAAGAUCGACGAGCUUCGAGCCAUCCGAGUCGCUCCAAAGGAAAAUCCUAGAGUGGAGGCUUUGCGCGGGAGGUGCGCUCCGGGGCCCGAGCAGUGCGCGAACUGUAGUACAUGCGGCUACCUCGUCUACGUUCCCGCCAGCCAGGGGAUCGGCAACAAGAUGGUGGCUAUAGUAGCAGCGUUUCUCUACCCGCUGCUCACCGACAGGACGAUGCUGAUCGCGAGGUUGGAGAACCUGGACACGCUCUUCUGCGAGCCGUUUCCACCCAGCUCCUGGCUGCUGCCGUCGAGCUGGAAGCACCUCGAGUUGGCGCCGUGGGACGCCUCCAAGUGGAUUGGAAGCCUGGUGGGAUCGCCCAACUGCAGCCGCGGCGUCGACGUGAGCUUGGUGGCCUAUCUCGAUUACAACUACAGGGACCAGGACAAGGCCUUCUUCUGCCAAGAUCAACAGCAAGCUCUUAACUCCAGCGCGCGGUGGAUCGUCCUCUCCUCCGGCCAGUACUUCACUCCGGCACUCUACAACGUCCCGGCUUUCAGGAGCAAGCUCGAGGAAUGGUUCCCACAGCAGGAGGCCAUCUUCCAUCUCCUGGUGAGGUACCUGUUGCUUCCCAGUGACUUCGGGACAAGGCGGCCAGGUACUACGACGCGUACCUGGCCCAGGCCGAGCUUCUAGUCGGGGUCCAGCUGCGAAGCCACAUCUGGUUCUCGCCACCCAACCUCGCCGAGGAUACGUUCGACUGCCUGGUGCAACAAGGCGCGCUCGCAAACACCACCCAGGAGCGAGCUCCCAGAUCGUCGGUGAGGAAGAACAGCAAGAAGGUGGCGGUGCUGGUGGUGUCGCUCAACUUGCAGUACUCGGAGACGCUCAAGAGCAAGGUGCUGGGAUACGAUCUAGCGGACGGCUCCUCGGUGUCCAUCCACCAGCCGAGCGUGGAGGGCGUGCAAAACACAGGGAACUUGGAUCACGACGCACAGGCGGUGAUGGAGAUCUACUUGCUGUCGAUGAGCGAUGUCCUGGUGACGAGCCCGCCAUCCACGUUUGGCUACUCGGCGGCGGGGCUGGAGGGCGUGCGGCCCGUGCAGUUCGUGUGCGACCAGAACAAGAGCGUGGUCUGCUCGGUGAGGGAGACGAUGGAGCCGUGCUACCACGUUUAUCCGGCUCAAUUCGCGCUGGACAACAUUGAAAAGUGCGAAUGCGGCAUGGGUUUCAGACUAGUCUAAAGUACAUUCUUAGAAAGGGUGUUGUCUUAGAAAGUUCUUAAAGCUUUUAAAAUUUUAUUUUCUUUCUCGUGAUAGAUUUCUAAGUUGCUCCUUGGCUGCAUCACGCAAAUCUAGCGUCAUUUGUAGACUUGCGUGGUCAGGUCAUGCUCUUGGCCCAUGCAAAGUUGCACCAAGGCUGCCUGGAAAUCCAGGUAAUUUGGUACCAAGAGCUUAUAGACUUCAAAUGGCGAGCUGUCUUUUGUGCAGGACUUUGAAAAACUGCUCGUAGAGUGUUCUGGCUUGGAAGCUAACGAGUCUUGUUUUGACAGAUGGCACGUGCAAAGGACUUGACUGUUUACCAAGCCCGGUGGAGAACUUUCUAUGUGAAUGAAUAUAAAACACUGGAGGCCCAUUGGAUCCAAUCGUAGCAGAGCAAGCACAGCUCUUGGUUCUUAUACAACGAUAUCAUCACUACGUUUAGUGCUUUUGUGGCUGGAAUGGAUCGUGGAAGGAUACUUCUUGCCAUCACAUUGGUGAUCAUGAUCAGCGGCAAUAUCGAUUGUUCCAGGCCAGGCUCAUUUUUGGUGAUGAGCCAACAGGCCGAGCUUUUCAAUUUCGAAUUGCGCCUUCCUGUUGCUAACAAGAUCCACACUCUUCUCGAAAGGACCUCCCGGAGAAUGCUCAUCCAGGGUCAGCCCACGCCACCCUCCGGCCCUUCCGAGGACAACCACGAUCAUGAUUGAAGAGGCGGACAGCCACGUGGCUGACACGUCACGCAAGGAGACACGUCAGGCUCUUUCCAUCUGGCGGCGAAUUCUCCUCCAAAUCCUUCACCUCCACUUCUUUUCCCAUUCUUUCGCACCUCCGCUCCCUCCCAUUACAGUCACACACCCAGCAUGCGUCCAGGAGGGGACGUCUCACCAAGGUGUGGGGAAUGAUAAAGGCAACUUUCCAUUUUUCCCUGUCAACUUCAAGAGACUUGAGAGCCGCUUGGAAUUCCCAGAAGUUCCACUCCAGCAAGUAAAGUCUCCACAAAACUUUCAGGGAUGUCGUGUACAGCUGCGAGCAAUCAGCCGUGGUGGUGGCUUGCCCUUGUUCUGGCGAGAAGAUCUGCAAAGAGGAGCGGCUGCAGUGAGUCUCGAAGAUUCGCAGGUCGUUCGGAUUGGGCAUGGCUUGAGGGCCGGGCAGGGCAGGAGGGACAAGAGCCGGUGGUGCUAGAGCAGGCUGCAGAGGGAAGUGGGCAGCACUGGCAAAGGCAGAUUUUCUCCCACUUGACGUGAUGCAGUCUCAUUGAAAUGCACGUCUGGUGAGAUGAUCAGCGUCUUGGAGACAGGAUUGUAGACUUUGUAAGCCAAUGCUAUAGCCUAGGAAAAUGCCUCGUUCGCUUGUUGAAGUGAGUUUUUUUCUAGUUUUAGAGGGGAUAUGGACGCCAUGGAAGGUGCGCUAAUCCAUUUGAAUUCCACUUUGUGCAAGAACUUGACAAUCCUGGACCUCAACAUUGGCAAGCACUUAAACGUGUCUUACGAGAUAUGUUUCCUUACAGUCUUAAGGCCACGAGUCAAGCUUACUGGGCUGGCUUUGGCUAUAUUGUUUAGCCUUCACAAUGCAAUUGACAGCAAGAAGAAGAGCGUCGUUGCCUGCUCCAGCUGUGAGGCGGAGGCUAGUUCCGCAUGCAAAGAGGCCAUCUGGCUUCGCCACCUCCUCCUCAACGACACCCGGCCCAACACCAAUCUACUGUGACAAUCAAAGCUACAUUGCCUCGAGCAAACAUCACAAGAUUAAUUCCCGGACAAAACACGCACUAGGCUAAAGGAGAUAUUUUCUCAGCUUGCCAAAAGCCUCUUCUAACACAUGCUUGAGGGUUAGAGAGGGCUUGGGUGAGUUGGCAAGGUGUAGUUUUGGUCUUUCCCUUGAACAUUGUAAGAUCAUGGACCUCACUUCACUACAGUGUCACCUUUAGCCCAUUACAAUGCUGCAUAAAGGGAUCACUGCGUUUGCUCAUUGUGGCGAGGGCGAGAAAGUCCCGGAUGGGAGCGUGGAAGGUGACACUCCGGCCUGCGCCUACAUCAGCUCCGUGAAUCGCAUCAAGGAUUUCUUUCUUCUCGUGACAGGGGAUUUUAGGAUCGCACCAGGCACAGCUAACUGGAGAAUGCCAAGGAAUUGCUGCGUGCCAUGCCGUUUGUGCCGGAUGCUCUGGUUUGUAGGGUUUUGGUGGCAUCUUGCCGAUCGCAUUACGAUAUAUUUCGGGCAUUGGAUCGACAUAUGUCCUGGCAAAUCGCUCCAGGAGCGUGUUUAAAAUGGAAAUUGGCGGGAAAGCGAUGUGUUUGUUUUUUAUUCUAUCUAGCUGUGCUUACGAAAGUUUCCGAAAGGUAAGAGCUUUGGAAAAAUAAUUUAUUUAUAUAUGUAACUUAGUCAAGUCAGCCUCGCAACCUUUGGAGAAACUUUCAAGUCAUGCCGAUGAGCUCUCUCAACUUCUGGAUGAGACCACGGUCGUCAAUCUGGAACGCUUUCGCGAUCACGUCGUCGUUGAUUGGAGGAUUGGAAUCAAACACCGCCUUGGCCACCUGAGUCGCCCCGGGGUUUUGGCUGUUGAAGCCAGCCAUCGCAACCGCAGGCUCCUUUCCAACGUUAAGCUGAAAGUGGACGAGUCCCCGAGGGAAGACGAACAGAUCUCCAGGAUAGAGCAUUUGGGCGAAGAGCUUGUUGUCCGGCAAGGUGGUGACGAAUCCGACUAAGAGGUUCCCGUGCACGAGGAAGAGCAGCUCGGAUCCUCGGGGAUGGACGUGGGGGGGAUUGGUGCCGCCAGGAGCAUAGUCGACGCGGGCAAAAGCUACACCAAAGGUGUUGAGACCGGGGAAAUUGUUGACACUCGCCAGCGUGACGUUGGAGCCGAGCUUGUUGUCGGUGUUCCCGGGAGUUGCCAGCAGGCUCGACUUGAAGUCCUCGGCUUUCACAUCGGCGGCCGCCUUGCAGACCACGCCGUUCACUUUGAUCUUGGAGCCAUUGUCUGCAACGCAAAAGUCCUGCAGCAUAUCUUCAUCCGCGGCAUGCACAAACAAGAUGGAGCUGAUUGCUAGGAGGAAGGAUAGAACAAAACGAAGAUGAGCCAUCUUGCGAGCUUGGAAAAGACUGAUGGAGCUAUAUGAGGGAGGGGCAGGCAUUUUAUAGCCGGAGGAGGGGAGGCGAGGUCCUUUGGAUGACUUCGUCGUGAAUCGUGCACGAUUUUAGGUACACGGUCUUCUCUUCCCUUCUAUUUCAUUUUUUUACUCUUGCUGUCCGCGUAACACAAUCUGAUUUGUUUGCUGCCAAGUCGUCUCGGAAGUUUUCUUUUACCGGGCUUGUCUAGAGCCGUCAAAAUCAUCUUUUCUGUGUGUAGAUGAUGACGACCUUGGUUUUGAUGGUAAGAACUGGUCUCAGUGAAACUCGAGUUUUACACGGUCUUGGUAAAAACUUGACACUAAAUUGCUUGGCACCAGAGUUUUAACGGAAUUAUUAUGGAUUGUGUAGGUCCAUUGCUGAUACAAAUAAACCAUGGGUAUACUGACCAAAGGUACGUCUAUGUAGGUUAUCAAUUUUGCAGACAACUGUGUUGUUAGAAGGAUGGUUGCUCACAUAGUCAUGAGACAUACAUAGUCUUAGUCAUUGUGAUUAUUGCUUGCAUCAUUGUCAUGGGCAAAAUAGAAUGUUUAUUGCUGCCACUUUAUUAAUUAGUUUAAUGCAAUAAACUUAUGAUAUUAAAAAGUUUUAUAAUUUGUCCCACCAGUGCAAUCUAGGAAAGCAUCCAGUUGGGGUGGUGGGAGUGAACUGAGAGAUACUCCUAUGCUGCUGUGUGAGCAUGUCAAUCAGUCAGCUGACCUCAGUAUCAGUGGUCGUGGGCAGUGCAUUCUAAAGCUCUUGGACUUGUUGGGCAAAGUCGGGCACCCAUGCUGGCAUGACUUGGUCGUGAUUCUGGUUGUUGAUAGGAGUGUUGUAAGUAGCAUAUGCAUCCUAGUCAGACAUGAGGCGGUCAAGAACUCUUGGAAUUCCCUGCCAUUGCAAAGAAACAAAGAAAAAAUAUCAAUGGCUAACUUUCAUUCACCAUUUUGUCAAGGAAAAAUCUAAACAAUACACCACAUUAUUAAAGAAUAGUUUGGCUGACCAAGAUGUAAUCGUUUGUACUACUCCUGUUCCAUCUAUGGUGCCCAAUUGUGUAGUGCUGUUAAUAAUGUAGAGUUGAGAGGCAUUAUUAGUCAUGUGGAUGUCCUCUGCUGCUGCCUGGUUCGAGGAGCCCUUCCGCUGUUGUGAGUUGAGCCUGCAAAGUCCGUUGCAAUAUUAAAAACGUUUAACUGCCCAGUCAGCCUCACUGGUUUGAUCGGUCAGUGUAUAGUUUUAUCUUAAGAGUAACAUUCCACGAACUAGAGAGUAGAAUUUAGCUGCUCAACCAAAGUCCCACCCAUAUCCAUAACCCAUGCCUUGUCCACCAGUGGAAUCAACUCUCUGCGAGGAAAGAAAAUAAGAUCCAAGCACUAAUCACGCAAGUUUACCGCAGAUCAUGGCUCACAACGUCCUCUCCUUCUUUAAGUACACGAGGUAAGAAUGUAGCUUGGAAUUUUUGGUGAGGUGUUGCUGAUCUCUCUAUCUCUUGAAGCGCCCGAAGAGUCAACGCAUGUUACUUUCGAUGAAUCGGCUGUUUCCCUCCCACAACCGGCCAAGACACACAGCUCGGCUUGCAAAAGUGACGAAGAGGUUUGCAAAUUUUUUUCCCUUCUCUAUAUACUGAAGUCUCAAGCUUGCAGGGGUGCCAGAAUGCUGAAACGGAUUCAAAUCUCACAUCCCGAGUCAAUGCUAUUGCCGACAUAUUGUCACAGUAGAGUUUGACUGCUGGAAUUUGAAUCCCGAGGUCCUGCAGCAAUGUCUUAAGCCAGAUGGCCUCUUUCGCUGCUGCUGCAGCUGUGAUGUAUUCAGAUUUGCAUGAGAACAUCGUAGUGAUCUAUUGCCUCUUGGAACACUAACUAACCAUGUGAUGGUUAUACAUGAAGACAUACCCUGAGGUGGAUCUUUUGUCAUCUGGAUCUCCUGCCCAGUCUACAUCUGUGAAUCCCACCAGGCCGUUGUCUCCAUCUCCUCUUGCAUAUUUUAGUGUGAAUUUCCUUGUGCCACUCAUAUACCUCAUGAUCUGCUUCACAACGGCUCAAUGUGAGGGUGAUGGAUUGUCCAGGAACUUUGAGACUGCUCCCACAUUGAAUGCGAGGUCAAGCUUAGUUGAGACCAUCAAGUAGAUGAGGCUCCCGACCACUGAACGGUACAGUGUUGUGGUCUCCUCCUCGGGAGUGUCAUCAGAGGUUGAUGUCAAACUUCUCCAGAGGUAUUCUAUGCUUAACGCUAAUCCGGUGGCUACUCCUAUGGAAGUAGGCUCAAAGUUGUCCAAAGCUUUUAUGUCAUGGAUGUAUUUAGGAGAGCUCAAGUACUCCACAUUGCUUAUCAGUGCAAGUUUCCCAGAUCCGUCAUCUCAAAUCUAGCAGCGAGAGAGGCCUUGAUGUGGUGGAUGAGUUGUAUCUAGUUAUUGUAUCGUCCACAUAUAAGGCUAAGAAUAGAAAUCCUUGGCCAUCUCGGUAUAUGUAGAGAUUAUUAUCAGCCGUGCUACGAGUAAAGCCCAACGAGGUCAGAAAGUUGUUAAUUUUAGUGUACCAUGACCUGGGCCUUUGUUUCAGCCCGUAGAGAGCGUCACCACAUUGCCGGACAACAAGCUCUUCGCCCAAAUGCUCUAUCCCGGAGAUCUGUUCGUCUUCCCUCGGGGACUCGUUCACUUCCAGCUCAAUGUUGGAAAGGAGCCUGCGGUUGCGAUGGCUGGCUUCAACAGCCAAAACCCCGGGGCGACUCAGGUGGCCAAGGCGGUGUUUGAUUCCAAUCCUCCAAUCAAUGACGACGUGAUCGCGAAAGCGUUCCAGAUUGACGACCGUGGUCUCAUCCAGAAGCUGAGAGAGCUCAUCGGCAUGACUUGAAAGUUUCUCCAAAGGUUGCGAGGCUGACUUGACUAAGUUACAUAUACAAAUAAAUUAUUUUUCCAAAGCUCUUACCUUUAGAUAGUGGAGACUUUCGUAAGCACAGCUAGAUAGAAUAAAAAACAAACACAUCGCUUUCCCGCCAAUUUCCAUUUUAAACACGCUCUUGGAGCGAUUUGCCAGGACAUAUGUCGAUCCAAUGCCCAAAACAUAUCGUAAUGCGAUCGGCAAGAUGCCACCAAAACCCUACAAACCAGAGCAUCCGGCACAAACGAGCAAUUCCUCGGCAUUCUCCAGUUGCCUGCCACGGCCGAAGAUAUCGAUCAUGCAGACGAACUGAUCCCUGCCUGGCGCGAUCCUAAAAUCCUCUGUCACGAGAAGAAAGAAAUCCUUGUUGCGAUUCACGGAGCUGAUGUAGGCACAGGCCGGAGUGUCACCUUUCUCAUUGCGCCCUCGCCACAAUGAGCAAACGCAGUGAUCCCUUUAUGCAGCAUUGUAAUGGGCUAAAGGUGACACUGUAGUGAAGUGAGGUCCAUGAUCUUACAAUGUUCAAGGGAAAGACCAAAACUACACCUUGUCAACUCACCCAAGCCCUCUCUAAGGGGCUUUUGGCAAGAUGACAAAGUAUCUCCUUUAGCCUACUUUGAGAGGAUUUCGGGAUUUACCUGGACGUAUUUGAGUGUACUGCAUAUAAUAAUCAAGUGGCUGGACAUGAGAAGGUUCUGUAUGGCUCUAUCAGGAGAGGCACAGAGAAUGUUUGUUUCAUGCUGUGCACGAGAUCAGAUUGUUUGGUUGGAUGAAGCAGUGGACUCGAUUUCCAGGCUGUUGUGAUGUUCAAUUAAGAUUGCAUUAUCGAGAUUGGAAUCACAAGAACAUGGAAAGAACUGGACGUGUCUCCCAGCGUGGUGCGUGUUUCGUCCGGGAAUUAAUCUUGUGAUGUUUGCUCGAGGCGAUGUAGCCUUGAUUGUCACAGUAGAUUGGUGUUGGGCCGGGUGUCGUUGAGGAGGCGGCGAAGCCAGAUGGCCUCUUUGCAUGCGGAACUAGCCUCCGCCUCACAGCUGGAGCAGGCAACGACGCUCUUCUUCUUGCUGCUAACUNNNNNNNNNNNNNNNNNNNNNNNNNNNNNNNNNNNNNNNNNNNNNNNNNNNNNNNNNNNNNNNNNNNNNNNNNNNNNNNNNNNNNNNNNNNNNNNNNNNNNNNNNNNNUCAAUGUUGAGGUCCAGGAUUGUCAAGGGUUCUUGCACAAAGUGGAAUUCGAAUGGAUUAGCGCACCUUCCAUGGCGUCCAUAUCCCCUCUAUAACUAGAAAAAAAACACACUCCAACAAGCGAACGAAGCAUUUUCCUAGGCUAUGGCAUCUCACCAGACGGGCAUUUCAAUGGGACUGCAUCACGUCAAGUGGGAGAAAAUCUGCCUUUGCCAGUGCUGCCCAUUUCCCUCUGCAGCCUGCUCUAGCACCACCGGCUCUUGUCCCUCCUGCCCUGCCCGGCCCUCAAGCCAUGCCCAAUCCGAACGACCUGCGAAUCUUCGAGACUCACUGCAGCCGCUCCUCUUUGCAGAUCUUCUCGCCAGAACAAGGGCAAGCCACCACCACGGCUGAUUGCUCGCAGCUGUACACGACAUCCCUGAAAGUUUUGUGGAGACUUUACUUGCUGGAGUGGAACUUCUGGGAAUUCCAAGCGGCUCUCAAGUCUCUUGAAGUUGACAGGGAAAAAUGGAAAGUUGCCUUUAUCAUUCCCCACACCUUGGUGAGACGUCCCCUCCUGGACGCAUGCUGGGUGUGUGACUGUAAUGGGAGGGAGCGGAGGUGCGAAAGAAUGGGAAAAGAAGUGGAGGUGAAGGAUUUGGAGGAGAAUUCGCCGCCAGAUGGAAAGAGCCUGACGUGUCUCCUUGCGUGACGUGUCAGCCACGUGGCUGUCCGCCUCUUCAAUCAUGAUCGUGGUUGUCCUCGGAAGGGCCGGAGGGUGGCGUGGGCUGACCCUGGAUGAGCAUUCUCCGGGAGGUCCUUUCGAGAAGAGUGUGGAUCUUGUUAGCAACAGGAAGGCGCAAUUCGAAAUUGAAAAGCUCGGCCUGUUGGCUCAUCACCAAAAAUGAGCCUGGCCUGGAACAAUCGAUAUUGCCGCUGAUCAUGAUCACCAAUGUGAUGGCAAGAAGUAUCCUUCCACGAUCCAUUCCAGCCACAAAAGCACUAAACGUAGUGAUGAUAUCGUUGUAUAAGAACCAAGAGCUGUGCUUGCUCUGCUACGAUUGGAUCCAAUGGGCCUCCAGUGUUUUAUAUUCAUUCACAUAGAAAGUUCUCCACCGGGCUUGGUAAACAGUCAAGUCCUUUGCACGUGCCAUCUGUCAAAACAAGACUCGUUAGCUUCCAAGCCAGAACACUCUACGAGCAGUUUUUCAAAGUCCUGCACAAAAGACAGCUCGCCAUUUGAAGUCUAUAAGCUCUUGGUACCAAAUUACCUGGAUUUCCAGGCAGCCUUGGUGCAACUUUGCAUGGGCCAAGAGCAUGACCUGACCACGCAAGUCUACAAAUGACGCUAGAUUUGCGUGAUGCAGCCAAGGAGCAACUUAGAAAUCUAUCACGAGAAAGAAAAUAAAAUUUUAAAAGCUUUAAGAACUUUCUAAGACAACACCCUUUCUAAGAAUGUACUUUAGACUAGUCUGAAACCCAUGCCGCAUUCGCACUUUUCAAUGUUGUCCAGCGCGAAUUGAGCCGGAUAAACGUGGUAGCACGGCUCCAUCGUCUCCCUCACCGAGCAGACCACGCUCUUGUUCUGGUCGCACACGAACUGCACGGGCCGCACGCCCUCCAGCCCCGCCGCCGAGUAGCCAAACGUGGAUGGCGGGCUCGUCACCAGGACAUCGCUCAUCGACAGCAAGUAGAUCUCCAUCACCGCCUGUGCGUCGUGAUCCAAGUUCCCUGUGUUUUGCACGCCCUCCACGCUCGGCUGGUGGAUGGACACCGAGGAGCCGUCCGCUAGAUCGUAUCCCAGCACCUUGCUCUUGAGCGUCUCCGAGUACUGCAAGUUGAGCGACACCACCAGCACCGCCACCUUCUUGCUGUUCUUCCUCACCGACGAUCUGGGAGCUCGCUCCUGGGUGGUGUUUGCGAGCGCGCCUUGUUGCACCAGGCAGUCGAACGUAUCCUCGGCGAGGUUGGGUGGCGAGAACCAGAUGUGGCUUCGCAGCUGGACCCCGACUAGAAGCUCGGCCUGGGCCAGGUACGCGUCGUAGUACCUGGCCGCCUUGUCCCGAAGUCACUGGGAAGCAACAGGUACCUCACCAGGAGAUGGAAGAUGGCCUCCUGCUGUGGGAACCAUUCCUCGAGCUUGCUCCUGAAAGCCGGGACGUUGUAGAGUGCCGGAGUGAAGUACUGGCCGGAGGAGAGGACGAUCCACCGCGCGCUGGAGUUAAGAGCUUGCUGUUGAUCUUGGCAGAAGAAGGCCUUGUCCUGGUCCCUGUAGUUGUAAUCGAGAUAGGCCACCAAGCUCACGUCGACGCCGCGGCUGCAGUUGGGCGAUCCCACCAGGCUUCCAAUCCACUUGGAGGCGUCCCACGGCGCCAACUCGAGGUGCUUCCAGCUCGACGGCAGCAGCCAGGAGCUGGGUGGAAACGGCUCGCAGAAGAGCGUGUCCAGGUUCUCCAACCUCGCGAUCAGCAUCGUCCUGUCGGUGAGCAGCGGGUAGAGAAACGCUGCUACUAUAGCCACCAUCUUGUUGCCGAUCCCCUGGCUGGCGGGAACGUAGACGAGGUAGCCGCAUGUACUACAGUUCGCGCACUGCUCGGGCCCCGGAGCGCACCUCCCGCGCAAAGCCUCCACUCUAGGAUUUUCCUUUGGAGCGACUCGGAUGGCUCGAAGCUCGUCGAUCUUCGGCGGCUGUAGAAGUCGUACUCGUUCCUGCUCCUGCAAGUGUCGCUGCCGUUGUAGCUUGUGGUGUUGUUGCUGAUCCGGAAGUUUGAUCCCAGAGUUCGGCUCCGGGACAUCAUCGCAGAGUCGGAAUUUAUGUCGAGAACCCAUAUGAGUAGCAGUGCUGCAGCGGAGAAGAGGAGCACGAAGAACAGCAAGCUCGGGCUGUAACUUUUCAUCCUCCGAUCCUGGAAAGUUGCCUCCCGAACUCCACCUCAAUGCAAAAAAUUCCUCUUAGUUGGUGAUGGUGAUUACUAACCUGAAGAUCAGAAAGAAUUAAGAUUUGAGCAACUAAGAAACAAUUCCGUGGCUUACCAUGUGGACGGGACACGCGACCAAAUACUCAAGACGAAGAAGGAACUCACAGCUCCAGCCAAUUGACUUCGUCGCUCACCAUCUUUCUGGUGGAGUCUCACGGUACUGGGAUGAGAGCGGUAUCCAAGGAUCUUCCACACGAGCUCGCCUGGAGCUGUCCUUCAAGCUGUUCUCCGUGAGCUCUUUGUUGCUAUCCGACCGUAGCAGGGUUUCCACCACUUAGUCCUUCAGAACCAGCCCCUCCAACCGGUUCUCCGAGAGAUCCGAGCAAACUCAAAGAGUCUGCCCAAGCUGAGAGACAAGAUACAGCCCACACGUGCUCCUCCGAAACGUUGUUCGAGCACUUCCAAGCCCGCACACCCAUUUGGAUGGCUGAGAGAUGUAGAGCCGAGAAUGACAUUCCGGAGUUUGCUGCUGGACGGGGGAAUGAGACUGUUGAAGAGCUCCUGGAGAGCCACGCAGUCGCGAAAGAUCCCAUCGCGCCAAAGGCCUAGCAGCUCCAUGUACCCCCGAGAAGGACGAGCCAGAGAUCAUGUUGCCGGCUCGUGAUCGUCCAGCUGAACUGAUUCCUUGACAUGUCUAACACCCUGAGAAGUUCCCUCUAAACAGAAGAGAUACCUGUCCUGUCCGGAGUUCAAUCUCCAGUGAGGCUAGAACUUCCAGGCUGUGAACCUUCUGAUGGAACAAAACCUUGAUUUCUUAAAGGAAGAUUCAGCAGCAGUUACCUGCGAUUUAAACCAGUUUCUAAUGAGCAAAGACACGAAGAUGAGCCGUUUGAAUAAAAUCAAAAGGGAGUCAUACCUCAAUUAGCGUAAGAACCGGAAAUACUGCGGCCUGAGCAAUUUACACUGGCCUCCGCAAAAACUGCUUGAAAAGUUUACCCUUCGCGACUCAAAUAUCACGUCACAAACGCCACAACAGCUUUCCACCGCUCCAAUUCAUUCUCGCCUUUGCAGCCCCCCUAGCAAACGGGCUGUCCAAACGCUCGGCCUACGCCCCAGCUACAUGCCUGUAAAGUGAAGAGAAUAUUAGCAAUCUUGAGAUUCUUCAACAGCGAGAGUUCACCUUCAAGUUGACUUGGUCAGAUUUUUUAAGAACUUCGACUAUGUCGUUGUUGAAGAGAUUGUCAAAAAGGCCAUCAGUUCCCAAAACAAUGAUGUCCCCCUUAGACAGGGAUCUUGAAUUCCUGUAGACGGAAAAUUAGCGAACUUAAGGGAAAAGCAAGAGUACCUCUGCAACCGUCGGAUGGUCACUAAAUGUUCCAACUUGAAACGGAAAGUUAAAACUAUGCUGCAUGGGCUCCGAGCUUGCAACUACUUGCCAAUUGCGAACUAUGAUGAACCCAAGUCUCCCAAGUUUGCUGCGUACAUGUCUGAAAUAUAUGACCCGACUCAGCCUCAAACAUCAACUCCGACUAGCUUACUUGCUCAAACAAUGCAGCCACAAGGACCGUUGCUGAUCCCUGGGCCUUUGUACUGCCGGCGGCUUUGACAAGCACGUCCUUGGGGUCCGGUUUCCCUUUGCUGUUUACAACCAAUGCCUUACAAUGUCCCAUAAGCUCCCGAGAAUACAUCCCCGAAUCAAUGCCUGAAAAGCAGUAAAAACUCUUUUGAAGAAACAGACUCAAAGAAAGAUUUUUCUUACCUUCUCCGGCCCAGCCCCCAACACCAUCAGCAACACCCAUCCAGGAGCCUUCAGUGACGAAGGCAUCUUCACCCCCUCUUUGAGCCUGUAAACAGCAAAGCUUAGAAGAUCUACAAAAAUUAGCAAGUAAGCUUUGCACCUUCUCAGGAUGGGGACGCGUCGCAGCAGCAUAGUCCAGUCGAAGCAACCUUAAAAGCAAGAACACCAUGAAUUUCACCAAUAGCCACGCGAAACGUAAACAAGCUCACCGGCUGCUAGAAUCCGUUUCAGCAUUCUGGCACCCUUGCAAGCUUGAGACUUCAGUAUAUAGAGAAGGAAAGAAAAAUUUGCAAACCUCUUCGCCAUUUUUGCAAGCCGAGUUGUGUGUCUUGGCCGGUUGUGGGAGGGAAACAGCCGAUUCAUCGAAAGUAACAUGUGUUGUCUCUUCGGGCGCUUCAAGAGAUAGAGAGAUCAGCAACACCUCACCAAAAAUUCCAGGCUACAUUCUUACCUCGCGUGCUUAAAGAAGGAGAGGACGUUGCUCGUUGUGAGCCAUGAUCUGCGGUAAACUUGCGUGAUUAGUGCUUGGAUCUUAUUUUCUUUCCUCGCAGAGAGUUGAUUCCACUGGUGGACAAGGCAUGGGUUAUGGAUAUGGGUGGGACUUUGGUUGAGCAGCUAAAUUCUACUCUCUAGUUCGUGGAAUGUUACUCUUAAGAUAAAACUAUACACUGACCGAUCAAACCAGUGAGGCUGGCUGGGCAAUUAAACGUUUUUAACAUUGCAACGGACUUCGCAGGCUCAACUAACAACAGCGGAAGGGCUCCUGGAACCAGGCAGCAGCGGAGGACAUCCACAUGACUAAUGGCGCCUCCCAACUCUACAUUGUUAACAGCACUACACAAUUGGGCACCAUAGAUGGAACAGGAGUAGUAUAAAUGAUUACAUUUUGGUCAGCCAAACUAUUCUUUAAUCAUGUGGUGUACUGUUUAGAUUUUUCCUUGACAAAAUGGUAUGGCGGGGAAUUCCAAGAGUUCUUGACCGCCUCAUGUCUGACUAGGAUGCAUAUGCUGCUUACAACACUCCUAUCAACAACCAGAACUCACUGUGGUCACGACUAAGUCAUGCCAGCAUGGGUGCCCGACUUUGCCCAACAAGUCCAAGAGCUUUAGAAUGCACUGCCCACGACCACUGAUACUGAGGUCAGCUGACUGAUUGACAUGCUCACACAGCAGCACAGGAGUAUUUUCUCAGUUCACUCCCACCACCCCAACUGGAUGCUUUCCUAGAUUUCACUGGUGGGACAAAUUAUAAAACUUUUUAAAAUCAUAAGUUUAUUGUAUUAAACUGAUUAAUAAAGUGGCAGCAAUAAACAUUCUAUUCUGCCCAUGACAAUGAUGCAAGCAAUAAUCACAAUGACUAUGACUAUGUAUGUCUCAUGAACUAUCCUUCUACACAGUUGUCUGCAAAAUUGAUAACCUACAUAGAUGUACCUUUGGUCGAUAUACCCAUAGUUUAUUUGUAUCAGCAAUGGACCUACACAAUCCAUAAUAAUUCCGUUAAAACUCCACACAUAAAAAGUCUCUACAAAGCAAUUUAGUGUCAAGUUUUUAAGACCGUGUAAAACUCGAGUUUCACUGAGACCGGUUCUUACCAUCAAAACCAAGAUCGUCAUCAUCUACACACAUAAAAGAUGAUUUUGACGGCUCUAGACAAGCCCGGUAAAAGAAAACUUCCGAGACGACUUGGCAGCAAACAAAUCAGAUUGUGUUACGCGGACAGCAAGAGUAAAAAAUGAAAUAGAAGGGAACAGAAGACCGUGUACCUAAAAUCGUGCACGAUUCACGACGAAGUCAUCCAAAGGACCUCGCCUCCCCUCCUCCGGCUAUAAAAUGCCUGCCCCUCCCUCAUAUAGCUCCAUCAGUCUUUUCCAAGCUCACAAGAUGGCUCAUCUUCGUUUUGUUCUAUCCUUCCUCCUAGCAAUCAGCUCCAUCUUGUUUGUGCAUGCCGCGGAUGAAGAUAUGCUGCAGGACUUUUGCGUUGCAGACAAUGGCUCCAAGAUCAAAGUGAACGGCGUCGUCUGCAAGGCGGCCGCCGAUGUGAAAGCCGAGGACUUCAAGUCGAGCCUGCUGGCGACUCCCGGGAACACCGACAACAAGCUCGGCUCCAACGUCACGCUGGCGAGUGUCAACAAUUUCCCCGGUCUCAACACCUUUGGUGUAGCUUUUGCCCGCGUCGACUAUGCUCCCGGCGGCACCAAUCCCCCCCACGUCCAUCCCCGAGGAUCCGAGCUGCUCUUCCUCGUGCACGGGAACCUCUUAGUCGGAUUCGUCACCACCUUGCCGGACAACAAGCUCUUCGCCCAAAUGCUCUAUCCUGGAGAUCUGUUCGUCUUCCCUCGGGGACUCGUCCACUUCCAGCUUAACGUUGGAAAGGAGCCUGCGGUUGCGAUGGCUGGCUUCAACAGCCAAAACCCCGGGGCAACUCAGGUGGCCAAGGCGGUGUUUGAUUCCAAUCCUCCAAUCAACGACGACGUGAUCGCGAAAGCAUUCCAGAUUGACGACCGUGGUCUCAUCCAGAAGUUGAGAGAGCUCAUCGGCAUGACUUGAAAGUUUCUCCAAAGGUUGCGAGGCUGACUUGACUAAGUUACAUAUAUAAAUAAAUUAUUUUUCCAAAGCUCUUACCUUUCGGAAACUUUCGUAAGCACAGCUAGAUCGCUUUCCCGCCAAUUUCCAUUUUAAACACGGUCCUGGAGCGAUUUGCCAGGACAUACGUCGAUCCAAUGCCCGAAACAUAUCGUAAUGCGAUCGGCAAGAUGCCACCAAAACCCUACAAACCAGAGCAUCCGGCACAAACGGCAUGGCACCAGCAAUUCCUCGGCAUUCUCCAGUUGCCUGCCACGGCCGAAGAUAUCGAUCAUGCAGACGAAGUGAUCACUGCCUGGCGCGAUCCUAAAAUCCCCUGUCACGAGAAGAAAGAAAUCCUUAUUGCGAUUCACGGAGCUGAUGUAGGCGCAGGCCGGAGUGUCACCUUUCCCAUUGCGCCCUUGCCUCAAUGAGCAAACGCAGUGAUCCCUUUAUGCAGCAUUGUAAUGGGCUAAAGGUGACACUGUAGUGAAGUGAGGUCCAUGAUCUUACAAUGUUCAAGGGAAAGACCAAAACUACACCUUGUCAACUCACCCAAGCCCUCUCUAAGGGGCUUUUGGCAAGAUGACAAAGUAUCUCCUUUAGCCUACUUUGAGAGGAUUUCGGGAUUUACCUGGACGUAUUUGAGUGUACUGCAUAUAAUAAUCAAGUGGCUGGACAUGAGAAGGUUCUGUAUGGCUCUAUCAGGAGAGGCACAGAGAAUGUUUGUUUCAUGCUGUGCACGAGAUCAGAUUGUUUGGUUGGAUGAAGCAGUGGACUCGAUUUCCAGGCUGUUGUGAUGUUCAAUUAAGAUUGCAUUAUCGAGAUUGGAAUCACAAGAACAUGGAAAGAACUGGACGUGUCUCCCAGCGUGGUGCGUGUUUCGUCCGGGAAUUAAUCUUGUGAUGUUUGCUCGAGGCGAUGUAGCCUUGAUUGUCACAGUAGAUUGGUGUUGGGCCGGGUGUCGUUGAGGAGGCGGCGAAGCCAGAUGGCCUCUUUGCAUGCGGAACUAGCCUCCGCCUCACAGCUGGAGCAGGCAACGACGCUCUUCUUCUUGCUGCUAACUGCAUUGUGAAGGCUAAACAAUUUAGCCAAAGCCAGCCCAGUAAGCUUGACUCGUGGCCUUAAGACCGCAAGAAAACGUAUCUCGGAAGUACGAAAAGACGCGUUUUAGUCAAUGUUGAGGUCCAGGAUUGUCAAGGGUUCUUGCACAAAGUGGAAUUCGAAUGGAUUAGCGCACCUUCCAUGGCGUCCAUAUCCCCUCUAUAACUAGAAAAAAAACACACUCCAACAAGCGAACGAAGCAUUUUCCUAGGCUAUGGCAUUGAACACAAGGCUUACAAGGUCUACAAUCCUGUCUCCAAGGCGCUGAUCAUCUCACCAGACGUGCAUCCAAUGAGACUCCAUCACGUCAAGUGGGAGAAAAUCUGCCUUUGCCAGUGCUGCCCAAUGCCCAAUCCGAACGACCUGCGAAUCUUCAAGACUCACUGCAGCCGCUCCUCUUUGCAGAUCUUCUCGCCAGAACAAGGGCAAGCCACCACCACGGCUGAUUGCUCGCAGCUGUACACGACAUCCCUGAAAGUCUUGUGGAGACUUUGAACUUCUGGGAAUUCCAAGCGGCUCUCAAGUCUCUUGAAGUUGACAGGGAAAAAUGGAAAGUUGCCUUUAUCAUUCCCCUCACCUUGGUGAGACAAGCGCCUCCUGGACGCAUGCUGGGUGUGUGACUGUAAUGGGAGGGAGCGGAGGUGCGGAAGAAUGGGAAAAGAAGUGGAGGUGGAGGAUUUGGAGAAUUCACCGCCAGAUGGAAAGAGCCUGACGUGUCUUCUUGCGUGACGUGUCAGCCACGUGGCUGUCCGCCUCUUCAAUCAUGAUGGUGGUUGUCCUCGGAAGGGCCGGAGGGUGGCGUGGGCUGACCCUGGAUGAGCAUUCUCCGGGAGGUCCUUUCGAGAAGAGUGUGGAUCUUGUUAACAACAGGAAGGCGCAAUUCGGAAUUGAAAAGCUCGGCCUGCUGGCUCAUCACCGAAAACGAGCCCGGCCUGGAACAUUUGAUGUUGCCGCUGAUCAUGAUCACCAAUGCGAUGGCAACAAGCAUCCUUCCACGAUCCAUUCCAGCCACAAAAGCACUAAACGUAGUGAUGAUAUCGUUGUAUAAGAACCAAGAGCUGUGCUUGCUCCGAUACGAUUGGAUCCAAUGGGCCUCCAGUGUUUUAUAUUCACAGAAAAAGUUCUUCACCGGGCUUGGUAAACAGUCAAGUCCUUUGCGCGUGCCAAUGUCAAAACAAGACUCGUUAGCUUCCAAGCCAGAACACUCUACGAGCAGUUUUUCAAAGUCCUGCACAAAAGACAGCUGCUGCCCUAGCAAAUGGGCUGUCCAAACGCUCGGCCUGCGCCCCAGCUAUAUGCCUGUAAAGUGAGGAGAAUAUUAGCAAUCUUGAGAUUCUUCAACAGCGAGAGUUCACCUUCAAGUUGACUUUGUCGGACCCAAGAGAUUUUUUAAGAACUUUGAUUAUGUCGUCGUUGAAGAGAUUGUCAAAAAGGCCAUCAGUUCCCAAAACAAUGAUGUCCCCCUUGCAGACAGGGAUCUUGAAUUCCUGUAGACAGAAAAUUAGCGAAUUUAAGGGAAAAGCAAGAAUACCUCUGCAACCGUUGGAUGGUCACCAAAAGUUCCAACUUGAAACAGAAAGUUAAAACUAUGCUGCAUGGGCUCCGAGCUUGCAACUACUUGCCAAUUGCGAACUAUGAUGAACCCCGAGUCUCCCAAGCUUGCUGCAUACAGUGUCUGAAACAUAUGACCCGACUCAGCCUCAAACAUCAAAUCCGACUAGCUUAGUUGCUCAAACAAUGCAGCCACAAGAACCGUUGCUGAUCCUUUGGCCUUUGUACUGUGGAGACAAUUGAUGACAAGUCUCCACAUCAGCAAAAAAGACAUGUCAUUCAUCCAAGACACCAACCACCAAGAGUCACACCCAUACUGUUAUGUACAUAACCAUACCAAAGCAAUGAAGUCGAUAGAGCAUUCUGCGUACACUGGCAAACACAGCAACACAACGAGCAGGACCACGCUAGGGCUCUUGUAGUCCUUGCUAGGGUGGAACGACAGAUUCAAGAACGCAAGUGAGCACAACAUGAUGUCCAUCCGUGCUUCUACCCUAAUUGUCGCUCUAUGUGCAUGGCGUAUGGGCGUCCCUUCCAGUGAUUCCCACUGCCUCUUCCCCGCCCCUGCCCCCGCCCCCGCCCCCCCCCCCCCCCCCCUCGCUUCUAGCUUACUCUAUUGUUUUGUCCUUUCUUCUAGAAACUAAUGGCUACCAGUACUCCACCUCGCACUACAUCUAGAACCACCCUAGCGAGCACCAUGGCCAUCCUGGCUGGCAACUAAGAUGUAGGAUGGGAGAAGCUACUCUAGAAGUUCACAGGCGAGAACUUCACAACUUGGAAGACCAAAGUCCAAUUAAUCCUAAUGGCAAAAAAUUGUUGAGAUUUGGUGGAGGGAACCGAAGUGAGACCUCAAGAUAUAGAAGCAGCCUUGCAAGCUACUUAAGACUCUAAGAACGGCAAAGCCCUUUCCGUGAUUGGACUAGGUCUUGGAGAUGAAUUUAUUCAUCUCCUUGAUCUAGAAAAAUCCGCCAAGGCCAAUUGGGACUCCCUUUCCCAAGUCUUUGUAGCCAAAGCUGCUAAUGCUAAAUUGGUUCUGACCCAGAAAUUUUUCUCCCUAUGCAUGCAGCCUGGUGAGAUGAUGGCAACAUACAUUGGGAAGCUCAAGGGUUUAAUGCAGCAGCUGAAGGAAGUAGGUGCUGCAGUUUCCGAUGACUAUGCAAAAGCCUUCUUGCUCUACUCUGUAUCUUAAGAGUUGCAACAAUUGUCCUCCAUGCUUUCUUUUGUCCCAGGCAAAACCAUGGAGGAGCUCUACUCUGAUCUACUCAAGGAAGAGCACAAGAUUGCUGAGCGUCAAGCUGGCCAUCAAGGAUCCCCUCAAGCUGCUCGCGAGCAGGCCUUGUUUCUUGGUAAGAAACAAUCGAGUGGGGAGUAGAGGAAAGGAGGCACUAGCCGUGGGCCUCGUAUCUCUUCUGCUACAACUCCCAGCUCUUGAUUUAACUUCUCCAAGAAGAAAAAAGGUCCUUGCAACUAUUGUGGAAAGAUGGGGCAUGUCGAGUGUGAGUGUUGUGCAAAGAAGGCUGCCACCCAGCACAUGCUUACCCAGAGCAACUUGUUGUUGAUGAUGGCUCUUUACCCGUCACCGGUGUCUGCUCUUGAGGUUCUAUGGCUGGAUAGUGGUGCCUCUUUUCACAUGACUCCCUUAAGGUCUGCCUUUCACACUUACAAGGCUCUUCAAGCUCCACAACAGGUUUAUGUCGGCGACAAGCGACCACUCUAGGUGGAAGGUCGUGGCAUGGUGGUGAUCAGGCUAUCCACUGGACCUUUUAAGGAGGUUCAUCACGUGCACUUUGUACCUGAAGCAGCACAUACAGUUCUUUCUAUAGGUGUAGCCUCAGAUCAAGGCUUUACUACCACCUUCUUCCCAAAAGGGUGCACCAUCUAUGGUCGUGAUGGUACUUCUGUAGCUAGUGGCAUGAGGUAUGAAACACUCUACUGUUUAAAUGCAGAAUUGGUUUUUCCAACUCAAGUGCUUGCUUUCUGAGCACAAGACACCAUUGAGCUCUGGCAUGCUCGUCUGGGGCAUGUCAAUGAACGAGAUCUACAUGCCUUGGCUCGUAACCAGCAUGCUAAAGGCAUCAUGCUCCCAACUGGCCAUCUAGGCGUGUGUGAAACUUGCUAUCUUGGGAAGCAAGUUCACCUUCCUUUUCCAUCAAGAACCAUGGAGGACCAAGCUACAGGCUUAUUGGAUCUGGUUCACAAUGACGUGUGCUACUUGCCAUGGAAACACUCAGCCACAAGAGGUACUUUGUGUCUUUUAUCAAUGACCAUUCCAGAUAUGCUGUGGUGAGCCUUCUCCAUGCCAAGAGCGAAGUGUUCAACCACUUUAAGCUUUUUAAGAGCUGGGCAGAGACGUCUACUGGCCAAAAGAUUCGUGUGUUACGCACAGAUGGUGGUGGAGAGUACCUGAACAAAGAGUUUCUCAACUUUCUAGCUGAGGCUAGCAUUGUUCACCAGUACACAACAGCCCAUACUCCCCAACAGAACGGCAUGGCAGAGCACCUCAAUCGCAUGCUACUAGAGACUGUUUGUUGCCUUCUCCAACACACAAGCAUACCCAACUCUUUUUGGGGUGAAGCCAUUAACACGGUUGUUUAUAUCCGUAAUCGCCUUCCCACAAGGAGCACUGGUGUGGUUCCUUAUCAAGCUUGGACUGGGAAGUGUCCUCAGUUAGGGCACUUGAGGGUCUUUCGCUGCACAAUGUAUGCUUGCAUUCCAGAUGCGACUCGGCAGAAGCUGGAUCCUAGGAGCCAGAAGACCAUCUUCGUGGGCUAUCAUGCUCAUUCCAAGGCCUAUCACCUACCUCUAUAAUCUUGCUCUCAAGAAGCUCGUGGUCAGCCAAGAUGUCUCUUUCAAUGAGCAAGAUCUUUAUCGCCACAUUCAAGGUACUAUUCCUUCAAGUUCUAACUUGGUGGACUUGACCCCAGUGCUGGAAGACGAGCUCACCCACCCACCAACACCAGCAAUCCAAAGGCUACUCGUUCCAGAAGGAGGAACACCUCUUCCACUUGGUGAUGAACCUUCUCCAGCAACUCUGCUGCUACCAGUUCCUCUAGUCACUUCGGUGGCUACUAGCAGCAACACUACUUCAUCCAAUGAGCAGAAUCUUGCUGCUACUGUGGACGAGUUGUUCAUUGGUGAAGAAACAGUUGGAGGAUCUUCCCGCUCACCUCCUCCAGAUUCUCUCAUGACACCACCACCUCGUCAAGAGAUUGGAGCUAUUACCUGUUUAGGACAAGUGAGCAAGCCAACGGUCAAAGCUCUAGAAUCUCUUGCUCAAGCUCCAUGCAAGAAGGGAUUCUACUGGGCCAUGAGCUCCAUUGUUGAACCUCGUGGCUACCAAGUUGCUCUCUCCAAUCCUGAUGCCUCACAGUGGCAAGCAGCCAUGCAGGACGAGUAUGACUCAUUGAUCAAGAAUGGAAUCUGGACAUUGGUUCCCCUCCCUCCCGGCAGGAAGGCAGUCACAGCCAAAUGGCUGUUCAAGAAGAAAUAUCGAGCUGAUGGCAGCAUUGAGCGCUACAAGGCACACUUUGUAGCUCGUGGUUUCUCUCAGAUCCAAGGAGUUGAUUACUCUCAAACUUAUAGCCUUGUUAUAAAGCUGACAACAAUUUGUGUUUUGAUGAGUCUUGCAGUUGAGCUCGACCUGGAGCUCCAUCAACUUGAUGUGAGAACUGCAUUCCUGAAUGGUGAUCUUGAGGAGGAGGUGUAUGUUGCCCAGCCUCCUGGAUUUAUACGUCCCGGACAAGAGCAUCUAGUCUGCCGCUUGCACAAGACUAAGAGGUUCCCGUGCACGAGGAAGAGCAGCUCGGAUCCUCGGGGGUGGACGUGGGGGGGAUUGGUGCCGCCAUGAGCGUAGUCAAUGCGGGCAAAAGCUACACCAAAGGUGUUGAGACCGGGGAAAUUGUUGACACUCGCCAGCGUGACGUUGGAGCUGAGCUUGUUGUCGGUGUUCCCGGGAGUCGCCAGCAGGCUCAACUUGAAGUCCUCGGCUUUCACAUCGGCGGCCGCCUUGCAGACGACGCCGUUCACUUUGAUCUUGGAGCCAUUGUCUGCAACGCAAAAGUCCUGCAGCAUAUCUUCAUCCGCGGCAUGCACAAACAAGAUGGAGCUGAUUGCUAGGAGGAAGGAUAGAACAAAACGAAGAUGAGCCAUCUUGCGAGCUUGGAAAAGACUGAUGGAUUAUAGCCGGAGGAGGGAAGGCGAGGUCCUUUGGAUGACUUCGUCCUGAAUCGUGCACGAUUUUAGGUACACGGGCUUCUGUUCCCUUCUAUUUCAUUUCUUACUCUUGCUGUCUGCGUAACACAAUCUGAUAUUUUUGCUGCCAAGUCGUCUCGGAAGUUCUCUUUUACCAGGCUUGUCUAGAGCCGUCAAAAUCAUCUUUUCUGUGUGUAGAUGACGACCUUGGUUUUGAUGGUAGGAACUGGUCUCAGUGAAACUCGAGUUUUACACGGUCUUGCUAAAAGCUUGGCACCUUCUUGGCACCAGAGACUUUUUAUGUGUGGAGUUUUAACGUGCUGAUACAAAUAAACCAUGGGUAUAUCGACCAAAGGUACGUCUCUGUAGGUUAUCAAUUUUGCAGACAACUGUGUAGAAGGAUAGUUGCUCACAUAGUCAUGAGACAUACAUAGUCAUAGUCAUUGUGAUUAUUGCUUGCAUCAUUGUCAUGGGCAAAACCGAAUGUUUAUUGCUGUCACUUUAUUAAUCAGUUUAAUGGAAUAAACUUAUGAUAUUAAAAAGUUUUAUAAUUUGUCCCACCAUGGCAAUCUAGGAAAGCAUCCAGUUGGGGUGGUGGGAGUGAACUGGGAAAUACUCCUGUGCUGCUGUGUGAGCAUGUCAAUCAAUCAUUUAACCUCAGUAUCAGUGGUCGUUGUGGGCAGUGCAUUCUAAAGCUCUUUGGACUUGUUACGCAAAGUCCGGCACCCAUGCUGGCAUGACUCAGUCGUGACCACAAUGAGUUCUGGUUUUGAUAGGAGUGUUGUAAGCAGCAUAUGCAUCCUAGUCAGACAUAAGGUGGUCAAGAACUUUUGGAAUUCCCCACCAUUACAGAAAAACAAGGGGAAAAUAUUAAUAAUUACUUUAUUUAACUUUCACUCACCAUUUUGUCAAAGAAAAACCUAAACAAUGGUCAGUGUAUAGUUUUAUCUUAAGAGUAACAUUCCAUGAACUAGAGAGUAGAAUUUAGUUGCUCAACCAAAGUCCCACCCAUAUCCAUAACCCACGCCUUGUCCACCAGUGAAAUCAACUCUCUGCGAGGAAAGAAAAUAAGAUCCAAGCACUAAUCACGCAAGUUUACCGCAGAUCAUGGCUCACAACGAGCAACGUCCUCUCCUUCCUUAAGUACGCGAGGUAAGAAUGUAGCUUGGAAGUUUUGGUGAGGUGUUGCUGGUCUCUCUAUCUCUUGAAGCGCCCGAAGAGACAACGCAUGUUACUUUCGAUGAAUCGGCAGUUUCCCUCCCACAACCGGCCAAGGCACACAACUCGGCUUGCAAAAAUGGCGAAGAGGUUUGCAAUUUUUUUUCCUUCUCUAUAUACUGAAGUCUCAAGCUUGCAGGGGUGCCAGAAUGCUGAAACGGAUUCUACCAGCUGGUGAGCUUGUUUAUUUUCGCGUGGCUAUUGGUGAAAUUCAUGAUGUUCUUGCUUUUUAAGGUUUCUUCGACUCGACUAUGCUGCCGCGAUGCGUCCCCAUCCUGAGAAGGUGCAAAGCUUACUUGCUAAUUUUUGUAGAACUUCUAAGCUUUGCUGUUUACAGGCUCAAAGAGGGGGUGAAGAUGCUUUCUUCACUGAAGGCUCCUGGAUGGGUGUUGCUGAUGGUGUUGGGGGCUGGGCCGGAGAAGGUAAGAAAAAUCUUUCUUUGAGUCUGUUUUUCCAAGAGUUUUUACUGGUUUUCAGACAUUGAUUAGGGGAUGUAUUCUCGGGAGCUUAUGAGACAUUGUCAGGCAUUGGUUGUAAACAGCAAAGGGAAACCGGACCCCAAGGACGUGCUUGUCAAAGCCGCCGGCAGUACAAAGGCCCAGGGAUCAGCAACGGCAGGGAUCAGCAACGGUCCUUGUGGCUGCAUUGUUUGAGCAAGUAAGCUAGUCGGAUUUGAUGGUUGAGGCUGAGUCUGGUCAUAUAUUUCAGACACUGUACGCAGCAAACUUGGGAGACUCGGGGUUCAUCAUAGUUCGCAAUUGGCAAGUAGUUGCAAGCUCGGAGCCCAUGCAGCAUAGUUUUAACUUUACGUUUCAAGUUGGAACGUUUGGUGACCAUCCGACGGUUGCAGAGGUACUCUUGCUUUUCCCUUAAGUUCUCUAAUUUUCCGUCUACAGGAAUUCAAGAUCCCUGUCUGCAAGGGGGAAACCAUUGUUUUGGGAACUGAUGGCCUUUUUGACAAUCUCUUCAACAACGACAUAAUCGAAGUUCUUAAAAAAUCUCUUGGGUCCGACCAAGUCAACUUGAAGGUGAACUCUCGCUGUUGAAGAAUCUCAAGAUUGCUGAGAUUCUCUUCACUUUACAGGCAGCUGCAGCAGACCUUGUAGCUGGGGCGCAGGCCAAGCGUUUGGACAGCCCGUUUGCCAGGGCGGCUGCAAAGGCGAGAAUGAAUUGGAGUGGUGGAAAGCUAGAUGAUACCACGGCAGUUGUGGCGUUUGUGACGUGAUAUUUGAGUCGCGAAGGGUAAACAUUUCAAGCAGUUUUUGCAGGGGCCAGUGUAAAUUGCUCAGGCCGUUAAUAUUUGCGGUAUUUCCGGUUCUUUCGCUAAUUGUAUGACAUCCUUUUGAUUUGAUUCAAACCGCUCAUUCUGUUUAGAGGGAACUGCUCAAGGUCACUUGAGGUGUUAGACAUGUAGUUUAGCUGGACGAUCACGAGCAAGCUCAAGAUACUCAAGCUCUCCGGCAACAUGAUCUCUGGCUCGUCCUUCUCGGGGGUACAUCGAGCUGCUAGGCCUUUGGCACGAUGGGAUCUUUCGCGACUGCGUGGCUCUCCAGGAGCUCUUCAACAGUCUCACACCCUCGUCCAGCAGCAAACUCCAGAAUGUCAUGCUCGGAAGUGCUCGAACAACGUUUCAGAGGAGCUCGUGUGGGCUGUAUCUUGUCUCUCAGCUUGGGCAGACUCUUUGAGUUUGCUCGGAUCUCUCGGAGAACCGGUUGGAGGUUCUGAAGGACUAAGUGGUGGAAACCCUGCUCCGGUCGGAUAGCAACAAAGAGCUCACGGAGAACAGCUUGAAGGACAGCUCCAGGCGAGCUCGUGUGGAGGAUCCUUGGAUACCGCUCUUGUCCCAGUACCGUGCGACUCCACCAGAAAGAUGGUGAGGAAGGUGGCGACAAGCCAAUUGGCUGGAGCCGUGACUUCCUUCUUUGUCUCGAGUAUUUGGUCGCGUGUCCCGUCCACAUGGUGAGCCACGGAAUUGUUUCUUAGUGGUGGUGGUUGUUUCCCCGAGGUGCUGGUGGCCUAUCUCGAUUACAACUACAGGGACCAGGACAAGGCCUUCUUCUGCCAAGAUCAACAGCAAGCUCUCAACUCCAGCGCGCGGUGGAUCGUCCUCUCCUCCGGCCAGUACAUCACUCCGGCGCUCUACAACGUCCCGGCUUUCAGGAGCAAGCUCGAGGAAUGGUUCCCAUAGCAGGAGGCCAUCUUCCAUCUCCUGGUGAGGUACCUGUUGCUUCCCAGUGACUUCGUGUGGGACAAGGCGGCCAGGUACUACGACGCGUACCUGGCCCAGGCCGAGCUUCUAGUCGGGGUCCAGCUGCAAAACCACAUCUGGUUCUCGCCACCCAACCUCGCCGAGGAUACAUUCGACUGCCUGGUGCAACAAGGCGCGCUCGCAAACACCACCCAGGAGCGAGCUCCCAGAUCGUCGGUGAGGAAGAACAGCAAGAAGGUGGCGGUGCUGGUGGUGUCGCUCAACUCUCAGUACUCGGAGACGCUCAAGAGCAAGGUGCUGGGAUACGAUCUAGCGGACGGCUCCUCGGUGUCCAUCCACCAGCCGAGCGUGGAGGGCGUGGAAAACACGAAGAACUUGGAUCACGACGCACAGGCGGUGAUGAAGAUCUAGUUGCUGUCGAUGAGCGAUGUCCUGGUGACGAGCCCGCCAUCCACGUUUGGCUACUCGGCGGCGGGGCUGGCGGGCGUGAGGCCCGUGCAGUUCGUGUGCGACCAGAACAAGAGCGUGGUUUGCUCGGUGAGGGAGACGAUGGAGCCGUGCUACCACGUUUAUCCGGCUCAGUUCGCAUUGAAAAGUGCGAAUGCAGCGUGGGUUUCAGACUAGUCUAUAGAAAGUUCUUAAAGCUUUUAAAAUUUUAUUUUCUUUCUCGUGAUAGAUUUCUAAGUUGCUCCUUGGCUGCAUGAUGCAAAUCUAGCGUCAUUUGUAGAUUUGCGUGGUCAGGUCAUGCUCUUGGCCCACGCAAAGUUGCGCCAAGGCUGCCUUGAAAUCCAGGUAAUUUGGUACCAAGAGCUUAUAGACUUCAAAUGGCGAGCUGUCUUUUGGGCAGGACUUUGAAAAACUGCUCGUAGAGUGUUCUGGCUUGGAAGCUAACGAGUCUUGUUUUGACAGAUGGCACGUGCAAAGGACUUGACUGUUUACCAAGCCCGGUGGAGAACUUUCUGUGUGAAUGAAUAUAAAGCACUGGAGGCCCAUUGGAUCCAAUCGUAGCAGAGCAAGCACAGCUCUUGGUUCUUAUACAACGAUAUCAUCACUACGUUUAGUGCUUUUGUGGCUGGAAUGGAUCGUGGAAGGAUACUUCUUGCCAUCACAUUGGUGAUCAUGAUCAGCGGCAACAUCGAUUGUUCCAGGCCAGGCUCGUUUUCGGUGAUGAGCCAACAGGCCGAGCUUUUCAAUUUCGAAUUGCGCCUUCCUGUUGUUAACAAGAUCCACACUCUUCUCGAAAGGACCUCCCGGAGAAUGCUCACCCAGGAUCAGCCCACGCCAGCUCCCGGCCCUUCCGGGUGCUGCCACGAUAAGUGAAGAGGCGGACAGCCACGUGGCUGACACGUCACUCUAGGAGACACGUCAGGCUCUUUCCAUCUGGCGGCGAAUUCUCCUCCAAAUCCUCCACUCCUUUCCCCAUUCUUCCCCACCUCCGCUCCCUCCCAUUACAGUCACACAUCAAUUUACCCAGCUUGCGUCCAUGAGGCGCUUGUCUCACCAAGGUGAAGGGGAAUGAUAAAGGCAACUUU